UUUUUUUUUUCCAGUUGUAGUGGUUUUUUUUUGUUAUAAAACUUUGUGCCCAUAUCUUUCGUUUGUAGUUUUCAAGUUUCAAAUUUUCUUUUCUACUAUGUUAGUUUUAUUGAUCAUGAAUAACAUAUUAUCUUUUUUAUAUUUGAAGCUUUCGUUGUAGAGUCUCCGACAUAACUUUGUGAUUUUCAGGCUUUCAAUUUUAUUUUCUAUUACGUCAUUUUUAUUGAUCAUGAAGAACAAAUCGUCCUUUUAUGUUUGUAAAAGUUCUACCGAGAAAAUAAGACUCUUAAGAGACAAUAGGCUUCUCGGCUUGUUGUAAUAACCCAGAAGUUGCCUUCUGAAAUAGCCAAGAAGCAGCUUGUUGAAUAGUCACGUAACCACCCUCUUAAGAAACAAAAACAGAUUGCUAAAAUAUUAAAAAACAACUUUCUGAAAUAGCAGCUAUCUGGGAACCCCAUAAAAGCACAUGAUGUUCAUCAUUAGGUUUGAUCCUCCUCUCAGUUCCUUGAUAAUAAAAUUUAUGUGCCUUUUAUUGUUUCGAUUUUGUAAAAUUUUUGUAAUCAAGUUUGCAUUUUUAUUGUUGAAACACGUAAUAUGUUAUUAGCUUGUUAGUUGGUAUCCUAAUUUAUAGGAGUUUGUUGGCAGUUGAUUUCUAUUUCUUAGGUGCAGGUUUCUAGAGUUUGAUUUGCAGUAGACAACUGAGUAGGAUAUUUUAUCUUUAACUGUUUAGCAAUUGUUUAGCUAUUAGUUACGUUGGUUCCUAUUUUUCUGAAGUUAGUCGUUAUUACUUACUUGUAUAAAGAGUACUUGCAACAGUAUAAUAAAAUUCAUUUGCUCGAUUCUUUUGUAAUUUCUCUGUCUUUCUACUAAAUAUUUUGUAACAUUUGGUAUCAGAGCCAGAAAGAGAGUAUCUCAGAUCGAGUAUAAGUGUUGGGUACUGCUUAUUGAGAGUUUCUUUAGCAGUAUUAUUGCAACAACAAAAUGAUGGCCUCUGAAAACUUUGUUCAGCCCGCUAUUCCCUGCUUCAAUGGUCAUUAUGACCAUCGGAGCAUGUUGAUGGAGAAUUUUCUUAGGCCCAAGGAGUUUUGACAGUUGUUAGUAUUGGUAUGCAAGAUCCAAUGGCUGGUACUGCUUUAUCAGAAGCACAAAAAGCGGAUAGUCUAAGGUUAAAAGAUCUCAAGGCAAAGAAUUAUCUUUUUCAAGCUAUUGAUCACUCAAUACUUGAAACUAUUCUUUGCAAGAAUACUUCUAAACAAAUAUGGGAUUCCAUGAAGAGGAAGUAUCAGGGAACGACGAAGGAAAAAAAGGGCAUUAUUGCAAAUACUUCGCACUGAUUUUGAGACCUUACGGAUGAAGAUGAGCGAAUCAAUCUCAGAUUACUUCUAAAGGACUAUGGCAAUAGCAAAUAAGAUAUGAAUUCAUGGUGAAAAACUGGAAGAUAUCUUCAUUAUUGAAAAGAUCCUCCGCUUCAUGACAUUAAAAUUCAACUAUUUUAUUUGUUCAAUAGAGGAAUCAAAAGAUACUAAUAAACUUUAAAUUGGUGAGUUACAAAGUUCGUUGUUGAUUCAUGAGGAGAAAAUGAAUCGACAAAGUAGCGAUGAACAAGCUCUUCUCUCAUUCAACUACCAUUCUUCGAAAGGCGGUGGUCGCGAAAGAGGAAGAGGGAGAGAAAACAAUUCUGGUGAUGGGAGGCACUCACACCAAAAUUUGAAAAAAAUUCUUCAAAUUUGCAAGAAAGAGGAAGAAAUCUUGACAACAACAACAACAAUUCAGGUCAUUGUAAGCUGAAGUUAGUAGACAAGUCAAAGGUUGAAUGCUACAAAUGUCAUAGGUAUGGUCAUUAUAAGUCAGAAAGUAGAACUAACUUAAAUAAAGAUGGUGGAAGGCAGUCUAAUUUUGUAGAAAAGGAAGAAAAGAUAUCCUUGUUGAUGGCCUAUCAGGAGAAGGACCAGGUGACAGAGGAAAUUCAGCAGAAUAUCUGGUACUUAGAAACUGGUUGUAGCAACCAUAUAUACGGAAACAAGUUAGUUUUAUCCACACUAGAUGAGUCAUAUCGAGAUUUUAUAAAGUUCGGGAAUGAUUUAAAAGUUGCAGCCAUAGGAAAAGGACAGGUAACAAUUCGAACGAAUAGGGAUAUUGCUCAAAUAAUAUCUAAUGUCCAUUAUAUUCUAGAGUUGACAUCAAAUCUUUUUAGUCUCGGUUAGCUGCAAGAGAAAGGGUAUGAGAUUGUUAUUAAAAAUGAAAUUUGUCAGAUUCAAGAAGAAAAUUUGGGCUUAAUUGCUCAAGUUAAAAUGAUUGUAAAUAGAAUAUUUCCUCUCUAUCUCAAUAAUAUACAACAAUUAUGCUAUUUAGAAAAACAAGGAGAUGAUGCUUGGUUGUGGCAUUUUCGGUUUGGGCAUCUUAAUUUUGGUGGAUUAAGAAACUUGCAAUAGAAGAAUAUGGUGAUUGGUAUUCUUAAAAUUUUGUCUCCAUAUGAAAUUUGUGAAGAGUGCGUGGUUAGCAAGCAGUCUCGCAAUUGUUUUCCCAAAAAGGUUACAUGGAGAGCAAAGAAGGCAUUUGAACAUGUCCAUUCUGAUAUUUGUGGACCAAUGACACCAUUUUCUAAAGGAGGUAAAAGCUACAUAAUUACCUUUAUUGAUGAUUUUACUCGAAAAAGUUGAGUAUAUUUUUUAUAGGUAAAAUCUGAAGCUUUUAAAAGCUUUAAAGUACUUGUUGAAAAAGAGAUUGGCUGUCCAAUAAAGGUUCUUCAUUCAAAUCGUGGGGGAGAAUAUAACUCACAUAAAUUUGCAAAUUUUUUAUGAGCAUUAUGGAAUCAAGAAGCAACUUACAACAGCCUACUCGCCCCAACAAAAUGGAGUCUGUGAAAGGAAAAAUUGCACUAUUAUGAACAUGGUGCAGAGCAUUUUGACAAGCAGUGGCAUUUCUAGAAGUUUUUGGCCUGAAGCAGUCAAUUGGAGUAUUCACAUGCUAAAUAGAUGCCCCACAUUUGCAGUUAAGAAUAUGACUCCGGAGGAUGCAUAGAGUGGAAAACGACUAGCCGUAGAUCACUUCAGAAUAUUUGAGUGCAUUGCAUAUGCCCACAUUCCUAAUCAAAAGAGAAAGAAGCUAGAUGACAAGGGAGAGAAAUGUAUUUUUCUCGAUGUUAGUGAUCAAUCAAAAACUUACAAGCUUUAUAAUCCUAACACUAAGAAAAUAUUGAUUAGUCGGGAUGUCAUAUUUGAUGAAAAUCAAUUUUGGUCGUGGAACAAAAAUUUCAUGGGAGAAUAAAUUCCAGUUUGUCUUGAUGGAGAAGAUGGUGAAGAAGCAAUUCAGCCACAACAGCAAGUUCCAACAACUGUUCAAGAUAAUGAUCCUGAAAGUUCUAAAACUUCACUAAUUAUGGGAGAGCAGAUAGAAGCUAUAACUGAUUCACGUACCCCUCAUAUUCGAAGAAGGCCAUCAUGGAUGAAAGAUUAUGAGGUAAGCAGAAUUGAUUAAUCUGAAGAUUCUCUUACUUAUUUUGCUUUAUUUUCAGAUUGUGAUCCAAUAAAUUUUAAAAGUGCUGUCAAAGAUGAUAAAUAGCGAAAGGCAAUGGAUGAUGAAAUUGCCUCCAUUGAAAAAAAUGAUACAUGGGAGAUUGUUGAUCUUCCAAUUGGGCACAAAAUGAUUAGAGUAAAAUGGGUCUAUAAAACUAAAUUGAAGGAGAAUGGGGAUAUUGAUAAGUACAAGGCGCGGUUGGUGGCAAACAACUACAAACAAGAAUUCGAAGUGGAUUACAGAGAAGUUUUUUCUUCUGUUGUAAAAGUUGAUACGAUUAGAUUGGUGAUUGCAUUGGAUGCUCAAAAUUCAUGGCCCAUCUGUCAAUUGAAUGUGAAGUCUGCUUUUCUACAUAGAGACUUACAAGAAAAGGUAUUUAUUGAACAACCUCCUGGUUAUGUUAAAAAUAAUGAAGAGCAUAAAAUCUGUAGAAAAAAGGCUCUUUACGAACUAAAACAAGCACCUAGAGCUUGGUAUAGUCGUAUAGAUGCUUACUUUCUAAAGGAGGGUUUUCAAAAAUGCCCAUAUGAGCAUACUCUGUAUACUAAGUAUGAGAAUGAAGGUAAAAUACUGAUUGUGCUUAUAUCUAGAUGAUUUGAUUUAUACCAAAAAUGAUAGAGUCAUGUUUGAAAAGUUUAAAAGGUCUAUGAUGCUUGAUUUUGAUAUGUCUGAUCUCAGAAUGUCGCAUUACUUUCUUGGCAUAGAAAUAGUGCAAUCAAAUGGUGGAAUAUUUCUCUCUCAAAAGAAGUAUGUGCAAGAAAUUUUAGACAGGUUUUAGAUGAGCAAUUACAAUCCUGUCACUUCACCAUCAAAAGUUUGCUCGUAGCUUACAAAGGAUAUUGGAGAAAAAAAGAUCCAUGGCACAUUUUUCAGACAAAUUAUGGGAAGUCUGAUGUAUUUGACUGGAACAAGGCCAGAUAUCACACAUGCCGUAGGUAUCAUUAGUAGAUUCAUGGAGAAUCCAAAAGAAUUACAUUUGUUUGUUACAAAAAGGAUCCUUCUAUUCUUAAAAGGUAUUAUAGAUUUUGGGUUGUUCUACAAAAAGGGUGAAAAGACUGAUCUGAUUGGGUUUUCUGAUAGUGAUUAUGCUGGAGACUUGGAUGAUCGAAAGAGUACUUCAGGCUAUGUGUUUAUGUUGAGUUCAGGUGCAGUCUCAUGGUUAUCAAAGAAGCAGCCAAUCGUCACUUUGUCAACAACUGAAGCUGAAUUUGUUGCUGCUACUGCAUUAACCUCGCAAGCUAUUUGGCUAAGAAAUGUUCUUACUGUACUGAAUUUCAAGCAACAAGAAGCAAUACAAUUUAUUGUGACAAUAGUUCUGCUAUAAAGUUGUCCAAAAAUCCAGUAUUUCAAGGAAGAAACAAGCAUAUUGAUGUAAGGUUUUAUUUUCUACGCGAUCUCACUGAAUAUGGAGUAAUUGAUCUUGUCUACUGCAGAAGUGGAGAUCAUAUCGUUGAUAUUUUCACCAAAUCCCUCAAGCAUGCAUCAUUUGUAAAGCUUAGUAAAUUACUUGGAGUUUGUUCUUUUGUGGAUGCGACUUCAGAGAAUUAAACUGAAUAUUGAGAAUAUCAGUUUAAGGGAGGAAAUGUUGAAACACAUAAUAUGUUUUUAGCUUGUUAGUUGGUAUCCUAAUUUAUAGGAGUUUGUUGGUAGUUGAUUUCUAUUUCUUAGGUGCAGGUUUCUAGAGUUUGAUUUGCAGUAGGUAACUGAGUAGGAUAUUUAUCUUUAACUGUUUAGCAAUUGUUUAGCUAUCAGUUACGUUGGUUCCUAUUUUUCUGAAGUUAGCCGUUGUUACUCACUUGUAUAAAGAGAACUUGCAGCAAUAUAAUAAAAUACACUUGCUCGAUUCUUUUGUAAUUUCUCUGUCUUUCUACUAAAUAUUUUGUAACAUUUAUGAUGUAUAUAUUGAGAGGAAUUUAAUUUGAUGAACGUGAAUCGAGUCCUCCAAAAAUAACCUCAUUACGUCCAUGAGGUAGGGGUAAGUUCUGCGUAGACUUUACCCUCUCCAGAUCAUAUUUGUGGAAUUUCAAUGGGUAUAAUAUUAUUUUUGUAUGUCGAGAGAAAAUUCUAUAGUUGUGAGUCAUAAUUUUCUUUUAAAUUAGAAUGAUAACUCUAACAAAAGAGUAAGGAUCAUUUCUCUUAUGUCCUAGGAUCAUUUCUCUUAUGUCCUUUUAGUUUAUUAUUGAAUGUAAACAACAUAUUUGAUAUCUAGAUGCAUUUGAUGCUUCUUUAUGCAGUUAACAAUAAUUUUGUAGUUUUCUGAUACGGAAGAUUGAAAUGUUUGUAUAGAGUAAUAGUCCAUAUCCACUGGCUUGUGCCGCUAAAUAUGUUUGUUACUUUUGGACCUCACCUUGUCUGGCCAUUUUACUGCUUACUCUUGUUUUCCUCUUAGCAUAACCCAAGCAUAGAUGAGAGUUUGCACCUGUUUUAUCAUCUAGAUUGAAUUCCAAGACAAACAUGAAAGUUGCAAAGAAAUUUAUGUAGAAUAGUGAAGCACAAUCAACAAUUUAAUGUUCUCUUUGUUGGGUCAUUGACCUUUUUCCUUUCCUACGUGGAUAAAUGAAGCUCAAUUUGGACCAACCCACUUUUACUCGUAGGACCAUUACCAUGGGUCAUAUAUAUUGAUCUUUUUUAGGUCUUAUUCACCAUCACAAAAAGAGAAUUUCAACAGCCAUAGAGAGAAAACAAUAGCAGAUUUUCGCACCUAAAUUUCAGCCACGCUUGUCAAUUUUAAAUUGCGAUUUUCGUUUUGUUUCUUAUCCGAUUGAGCUGAUUUUUGGACUGCUUGUUUCUCUCAUCUCAAUAAUUGAUUAGAAACUGAUGGAGCUUAAUUUUUUGGCCUGUAGCUCCUGUUAUUCAUUCCCGAACAGUAGCUGCAUUUUUUGUGUUUUCACUCCUUUAUUUCUGUAGUGCUUGCUGCUGUGGUUUAUGUAUUGUUUAUUGUUGUUAGACACUUGAUUUGUGGCCAUUUUGCAGAAUUAUAUUGUAACUCUUUGGUGAUUGUAAUGGAGGUUUGGUCCCAUGAUUUUUUACUCUUCACCCUGAAGGAUUUUUCACGUAAAUUUGGUGUCUUGUGUGAUUGCCUUUAUUCUUGCCUUAUUGUAUUUGUGUGGUGAUUUAUUUGCUGCCAUGUUAUUUUAUUUUACUUGAAUUUGAUUGUCUCCUCUUGGUUCAAGGUGAAAGGAAAAGUUUAGAUUUAGAUAUUUUUCCGCUGCUAUCCUGUCGAACAUUUUGAUUGUGCCCUUGCCUUUCCCGACACUCUUAUAAUAGAUCUCUUUUUAUUUUUCCAUAUACACAACUAUCUCCAUGUAUCAGUGUGAUAUCACUACCUUUGCUCUAGCUUCUAUGCUACAUCAACUUGUGGGGUUAUGGACAUGAUUGGAAAUGAAGAACAUUAAAUCACGGCUUCAUUUUCAUCAGCAACACGUCAUCAUCCUUACUUGAAAGCGGUAUCAAGUUUAUUGUAAAGGUACUAUAGUCUUGAAAAUUCAGUAGCUUAUGAAUUAAUUAAUUGCAACAUAUUUACCAAAAUUUUGGAUUAUUUCCUUCUAUUCUCUUGCCGAAUUGUGCCUAGGAGUGACAAACAGUGGGUCAUUAUGCGUAUAUUAUAGAUGCUAAAUUUUCUUGACUUUUUCGUGUAUAUUAUAGACGUGAAACUCUCUUGACUUCUUCAUAUGUCUAUUUUUUUUAUAUUUUAAAUCAUUAUCACCGGGUACAAUAGCCUUGUACAAUUUAUAUAUGCUUGGUUUAAGUACAAAAUAAGGUGGAAGUCUCAUGAGAGAUGACAUAUUUGAGAUACAAUAUUUAUUUGCAUCAUGCAAAUAGAUAUAAUACUUAUUGUAAUAUCAAUUGUCACUUUUAAUACUUUUGUUGUUAUAUAUAACUUUACUGAUUAAUGUGACACACGUGCUUUAAAUAUUAAAAUUUUUCUUAUUUGAAUUAUGUAAAAAGUCUUAAAAUAAAAGGACUUUAAAAUAAAAUAUUAUUUUACUUUUACGAAUCCAUUACUACAUUUUAAGGAUUCCAUAAUACUCCUUUUAGGUUUGUAUUAACUCAGUGAUUGCAAACAUCAAUAGUGAUGGAAGUCAUAAAGAUAAUUUAAGUGGAGAAGAAGAAUGAUAAAAAAUCAAAAGGAAAGAUGAUAAUGACCUAUAUUCUAUUCACUUUGAAUUUGGCAUGAGUAACUUUGUAGAAGCCGAAGCUCUAUAGUUUGAGGUCUAAUGUCAUAUUUAAUAAUAACAUUACAAACCAAAAGCCUAUCUCUUUCGCUAAUUUUUUUUCUUUUCUUAAAUAGAAGAAGUUUACUUUGUGAUGUUGGCUAUUGUAGUAUUGAGCCGAGGGUUUACUUCACUAAGGUAGGGGUCUCAUAAAGAAAGAAUAGGAUCUGCAUACUCUCUAUUAUUUACUUGUGAAAUUAUACUGGAUAUGUUAUUGUUGUUGUGUUACUAAUUUUAAAUAAUUUUAUUUUUCUUAUAUAUAAUUUUACUUAUUGAUGCGAGAUACACGUGCAAAGCACGUACAUUAAACUAUUAUAUAUAUAUAUAUACACACACACAUACUAGUUUAAUGUAUGUGCAUUGCACGUGUAUCAUAUUAUUAAUAAUAAAAUAUGUAUAUAAAAAAAUUAUUGUAAACAGUAAAGUUAAUGCCAAAAUAAAUAGAGCAGUUAUUUAAAAUAAUAUAAAUAUUACUAUAUUAGCACGGUAACUAAAUUUAAUAUAUCAUGUGUAGUUACAUCAUUUAUAUCAUAUUAUAGAUAUUUUUUAUAUUAGAUACAAAUAUGUUACCUGAUAGCUCGCUCAUGACCUAUGAUUUUAUCAUCAAUAUAUAAUUGUUUGUGACAAAUCAAAAUGAUCAAUAUCAGGAGAAUAAUCUAAUUAACAAUUUCGUCCAACAUAAAAUUAUUUUUAAAGAGUAAAUUAUUAUAAUUGUCAAACUUUUUCCGCACUCAAAAUUGUCGCUAACUCUAAGAGAUAGAAAAGCUCUUUCUUUUUUGAGUUUAAGUUUUGUGCAUAUUCUACACUUUCAGAUAAACUAUGAAGGUUACUCAAUUUUUUAGGGAAAAUGCUCUAUUUUCACCUUGAACUAUGCGCGAAAAGACUGAGACACAUCCUAAUUUUAGGAGAGUCCUAUUACCCCUGGACUAAUUAAAACUGUAUUUUUGACAACCUUACUGUCUACGUGCACAUAUGUGGCACACACGUAUGUCUACAUGGACCCUUCAGUGUGUUGUGCCACGUAUGUGCCACAUAGAUACUAAGGUUGUCAAAAAUACGGUUUUAAUUAGUGCAGGGGUAAUAGGACCCUCUUAAAGUUCAGGUGCGUCUCAGCCUUUUCGUGUAUAGUUCAAGGUGGAAAUAGAGCAUUAUCUCAAUUUUUUAUAUAAAAAUUGAAUUGGGUAACAUGCAAGUCAAGUUUACCUGAUUGUAUAAAAUAUUUUAUACAAUAAAAAUUGACACAAAAAAAUGAAUCGGGUAACAUGUAAGUCAAGUUUACCUGAUCUGUUACACCAAACCAUCCAUCAUUAUCGGUUUUGGUUGUGGAUUGCGGUUCCAUAACCUUUUUGUGUCCUCCUCUUAGCUACACUAAACACCACAAUCCACAAGCAACUCUGGACUGUUGUUGCUUAAUUCUAUAAGAAAAUUGAGAAGUAGUGUAACAUUUCUGUUUUUAGAGUCUCUCAAAUAUUCUUAGUAUAUAAUUUGUACAUGUUCUUUUUUAGGGAUAAAUGUGUAUAUUGUUAUUCAUGUUAUGAUUUUCUUUUCUUCUUUUUUUAAUUUUUACCAACCAAAGUUUUAAACGUUCAAAAUACUUACUUUAAACUCAUCAUGUACUUGAGGAAAUACAUGGAGCCAAGCUUCCCAAUGGAAGCUUAAUUGUGUGAGCAUAUCAUCAUCAUUACAUUAUCGAUCCAGAUUCAAUAGUUAGCAAGAAUUGAAGUUCUUGAUCUCUCGCGAAAUUUAAAAUUGUAUACUUAUUUCAUAAUUUUUUAAAAUACAUGUUACCUUACCACGACCUCGAGGAGGUAGAGAGGCUAUUUAUAAAAGACACUCGGCCUUUUUGAGAUGGAUAGAGAAGUAUAAAGUAGUUUUGAACAAAGCACAAUAUAAUAUAUAUCAUGAAAAAUCCUCAUUAUUAAGAAACUAAGACUGGUUAUAGAUUGAGGAGACAUGGUUUCACCCUCCCAACCCCUCCUCACACCCCUAUUUCAAAGGAAUGACUGUCACAACUUUUAGUCAGAUAAUAAUCGAUUCUCUUUUCCAGUGACUCUAUAUACAUAGACAGAUUCUUCAUAUUGUAUCACUCGACACUAAAGGGACAAUUAAUAACUAAUCUGGUUAUGUUCAAAUUUACAUGUUCCACCAAUUCAUCUCCAAAAAGGGGGUUGAAGAAAAGAAUAAAAACACAAAAUUCUAAAAAAAUUGAUAUGUCAAAACUAUAUAUACAAUUUUGUGGAACUAUUGAUCAUUAAACAUAAUGAAUGCAUAUAAUCAACCAUAUCAAACCCUAUUUUAAAGGCAUAAAUUAUAAAAAUUCCAUGUAAAUCUAAACAUCUGCAAUCAUGAUAUCUUAACCAAAAUGAUCAACUACAAGCAUGCAUUGACACUUACAGUGAGCAAGAUCGCUAUCAUCAACCAACCAUACAUAAAAGUGCAACAAAUUCAUCCAUUUUUUUCUUGUGUUUCUUUAGUAAAUAUAAACUUGCUCUUGUACGUAGCUGUGUAAUUCCAACAUUGUGCACAUAGCAAAUAUUUCUCCAAUCUCUGUUUCAUCUUCACUUCUUCUAUCGUUUCCUUCAAUACUUGUAAAUUUGCAUCAACAAACAUGCCUUGAUUUCCUUCAAUACUUGUAAAUUUGCAUCAACAAACAUGCCUUGAUUUAUACCUGAACAAUACAAUUUUAAUUUAGUUAACUCAUCAAUCGAGGAUCUACCGAAAACGAUCUCUACUUUCACGGUAGGGGUAAGGUCUACAUACGCCUAUCUUUUUCAGAUUAUACUUUGUGGGAUUACACUGGAUAUGUUGUUGUUGUACAAUUUUUACUUAAUUAACAUUAAUUAUAAUCAACAAAUUGAUUAUUUUCUUAUUCUAAGUUUCUGGUGGAAUAUGUUUAAAAAACAUAGCUAGAGUUCAAACUUCUCCAUAAUCAAUGUUCUUCAACGUGUUGUACUCGGCUAGCUAGGAAUAUAAAAUUACAUUGUGUAACAUGCAAUCAAGCAACGAAAUAACAUAUCUUCAUCUCUUAUGUUCUGAUCUCUGAUUGGAAUAGCUUUUGAGAGAUCAUAACUAGAAACAGAACAACUAAUGAAGAAGUCAUAUUUGAUUUGAUCACCUUAGCUAUUACUAUGAUGAAGCCAGAAUUGCCAGAUAUAUAUAACGACGACAUAACUUCGGAACACGCACCAAAAAUUAGUGACCUAAAACUAUUGGAAUCGAAAUAACAUUAGAAAGAAACUAAAAAUUGCAAACAUCGCCAAUAAUAAAUUAGAUUAAAAAGAAAAUUAUCAUAAAGAAUACAUAAUAUUUAAUAUGGCAAUCAAGCAGAUGUUGAAAAACAAAUAUAAAAAAAAGACACAAAAGUUAUUGAGAAAAUAAUAUGCACUAAAUAAAAUCCUUUAAUGACUAUAUUGUGGAUAUUAUUCAAUUAUUUUGAGAAAAAAAUACUCAACUUAUAACCUCCAAGAAAAGAUUAAUCAAAUAUGAAAAGAGAUAUUUCCAAUCAAAAAUCUUUCAUACACAAAACAUAAUACGAUUUAAAUCAUAAUAGAAAAUCAAGACAAACCCCAAUAAAAGAAAUUCUUAUACUUGAAAAAAAUAAAAAAAGUUGAGGACACCUAAAUCAAAUUCUAUAACAAAAAUAUAUAGUUUUAUAAAAUUUGUUAUAGGAAUUGAAUAGAAAAAGUAUCACGUAAAGUUAUAGGAAUUGGAUACCAUCGAAUUUUGUAUUCUUCUUCUUCUUAUUCAAGUAGAGCAUUUUUCCCUUCUAUUCGGGGCCUGAUGGCCGCGCCCCACAAGCACCCAACCUUUCUUUUGCUCUUCCUUCGGUUUGCCUCCAUGAACGCGCCACUUAGGAGCCCAACUCAUAUUCCAAAGGCUCUACUUCAAUUCACGCGCAAGCCCCCUCUUCUAUUGUAUAACUUAAAAAAGCUAUAAACAAAGUACCAAAGUGGUUACGGUAAUGAUAUGCUUUAGUUACCAGCAAAGGCUUCCAAAGGCGAUCAGUUUUCCAUACUAGUUGUUACCUUACGUUGUCAUUUUUCCAAUAUUAUUGAAUAGCAUAGCCUGGGGCAAAGAUAACUCAAGUGGGAGAGCCGUGUUAUGGGUGUCCUUAUUGCACAGUUUAGAGAGCACUUGUGUAUGUGAUGCAAGUGAACAUCUAUGAAAAAACUAUCGUAAAGUUUCGUUCUUCAUUCCGUCGUCGACCCUAUCUACGUUUCUAUGAUAUCCCAAGAACACACUCAUUCUUCAGCCGUAGAGAGACUUUUGAAUUGUGAGGUACCAUUACGAGCUCAAUAUAUACGAGUGUUAUUCUGUGAAAUAACUUAAAUUUCAAAUUAUUCACUUACUUUAACUACUCAUGCUAUGGAUGUAGGAGCAUCAACUCUAUUCCUGUGGGCUUUUGAGGAGCAGAAGAAAUUAUUAGAGUUCUAUAAAAGAGUCUCGGAAUCUAGGAUGUAUGCCAGUUUCAUAUGACGAGGUGGAGUGGCACAAGAUCUGCCUCUUGGAUUAUGUAUAGAUAUUGAUUCAUUCACACAACAAUUUGCUUCUCGUAUUGAUGAAUUAGAAGAGAUGUCAACCGGCAACCGUAUUUAGAAACAACGAUUAGUGGAUAUUAGUACUAUCACUGAACAAUAAGCAAAGGAUUGGGGGUUAAAUGGUGUAAUGUUAACAGGUUCUAGGGUAUGCUGGGAUUUGCGAAAAAUAGCACCUUACGAUAUUCAUGACCAAUUAGAUCCUGAUAUACCAGUAGGUACCAAAUAAGAUCACUAUGAUCAUUACUUUAUUCAUAUCAAAGAGAUGCGAUAAAGUGUUAGAAUCAUUGUGCAAUGUCUUAAUCAAAUGCCUAGUGGCAUGAUCAAAGCCAAUGAUCGUAAGCUAUAUCCUCCAUCACGAUCUCAAAUAAAACUAUCCAUGGAAUCGUGCUUCGUGUAAAACGUAUAUCAUCACCGUUCUUAACUGAGACUCAGGUUAAUCUCUGACUCGGAACCUUGUAGGGUUAGGAUAAAACAUCCCGAGGUUGGCGCAUCUCAUUGAGCGUGGAGAAGCAUUGGGAACCCCAAUUUUUUUCUUUGGAGCCAUUUCUUUUUUCGUUCCCCCACCCCAGUAUAGCGCUUCGCUUUCGGUUCUUUGGAAGAAUCAACUUACGUCUCCCUUCUUCAUUGAUUUGGCAGAAAAGAAAUCGUCUACCAGUUGGGAAUCUAGACAUCAAGCAAGUGGUUUAAUGAGAAUAACUAAGAUGACACGCUGGAGUUGGCUACUGGUACAAUAGAGUGGUCCUUACCACAUCGCAGGCGAACACGGGAUAGCAUUCAUGGUGGUGCUUUAGGAUUCCAAUGUACUGUGUCCAAGAUCAGAAUGGGCUUGCCGGCGGACCACUGCCGUCCCAUUCUUGAGUGAGCUGGAAUGCAACCAUCUUAUCCAUUGAACUAGCUACAAGCUAUCACUUUGGGUUGAAGCACUAAAAUAAAAGGAUCAAGAAAUACGGCGGCAUAGGAACCAUGAGACCCCCUACUAGUAAAGGGAAAUCCUGUGCACCAGUUGAAAAUGCCCUUUUUCCUUUUUAAUAAUAAUAAAUAAAGUAAGCUUUAUAGCUUCAACCUAGUCAAGGGUUUUUGAUGCCCUUUGUAUAGGUUAGGUUGCUGGAUACAGGAUCCUCGUAGUAGGCUGGAUCAAGAUCCAACCGAGAGAGGGCAGUCUUUAGAAAUAACUGGUUGGGAAAGCAAGAGAAUGCUUUGCGUUUUAUUAUCUUUUUCCUGUCUUACAAGUAGCACGAAAAGAGGGAUUAACAUUAUUAACCCAAUGAUAAAGCACUAACACCUUCCUCGUUGGGGCUCUGCGCACUGGAAAAAGGCUGACUCGAUGGGAAAUCGGCCAACUAGUUACAAAGCUCCAAUAAGGUAUUGAGAGAGCUAUCACAGUCAGGUGCAAAUUUCUUACCCGAAUUUGGAAACUACCCCUAUUCCUAUUUAGGGAGUUGAGGAGAAAAAUGGCUUUAUGAACCGUUCACCACGCACCGGCUACAUUUACUUGCUUAUCAUAGAGGCCGUAAGUACACAGUGCUCCACAAGUAGGGUGUUUUUUUUUGGAAUAAAGUCUGAGAUAAGUGUAACCAUGUAUAUAUAGAAAUAUAUAUUCUACACUGUUAUUUUGAAAUGUACGCUUCAACCACUUUUUUACCUCCCAAAGAGAAAAGUUGGCUUGAUGAGCGCAGAUGAGGAAGCGGGAGCAAGAAAUCCAACUAUCUCUUUCUUGUCCUUCUACUUAAGGUUAAGGGCAAAGAGAAGUACUUUGCUAUUAAGAAAGCGAACGUUCAGUGCGAAGGUUCAAGGCUUAGCCGAGCGUUAGCAAAGCUAGAUUCUCAUAGCGAAGCACUUCGAGUUAGUGAAGCACUGUAGUAGCGCCGAAGUUUUAUGUGCUAUAAUGCUGAGCCAAAGAUGCUCCACCUUCUCUAUAGAAGUAGUCAACUGAGUUCUAAAUGGUCUUUGGUAAUGGCUUAAUCUAUAAAUAGAAAGCCUUGUGAUGGGAAACUACCACGUUAGGUUUGGAGAGAGAUGGGACCGAUUAUAUAAUAAGGGAAGCAGAUGCAAGCUUUUUUCAAUAGCCAUCCAAAUGACUAUAGGAUCAUUGAUAUACUCUACCUCAAUUUACCAUUUCAAACCUUAUACAGAAGGUUUUUCCGUACCAGCUCCUUCUACCUAUACCGCAGUUGAAGCACCUAAAGAAGAAUUUGGUGUCUUUCUGGUCAGUAAUGGAAGCAAUCGUACCUACCAUCGUAAAAUAAUAGCACCUGAGUUUGCUCAUUCACAAGGACUCAAUUCUAUGUCCAAACAUCAUAUGCCAAUAGAUGUGGUCACCAUCAUAGGUACUCAAGAUAUUGUGUCUGAAGAGAUGGAUAGAUAGGACUACUAGUUGCUCGAUCAGGACCCUAUCUUUAUUGCAAGCCAAAAACCCAAUUUAUAUGCCCCUUUUCUUUAUUAUUGGAGAUUCUAUCCAAUUAUCAGCCUCGAUAAAGAAAGGAGUAAAGAAAAAAAGUUAAAGACGACUUAACAGUAAAAGAGAACCCCAUCAUCUCGUGGCUAGGAACAUCUAUAUAGAUGGGAUUGGAUUUAUAGUGCCAGUUAGGGGUAGGUAUAAACCUUCAUUCAUCUUUUUUAAUCUUCCCUGGAAUAUCCAUCAUCUUGGUCUCAACCUUUUUGAGCUCUCCCUGAUCGAAAGUUCCUAUUUUGCUGCCUCUUCGAUCGUCUCCGUCUCCCUAAAAAAGAAGAUUGGGGACCUAGAUGGUCAGGGUGUUUCCUUACCUUAGCUGAGCCUUAUGUCCCUUCAACAUUUCUAUUCAUCUUGCCUUGUCUUGGGCACCGCAGUGGGCCGAUUAUCCUAUAUAUAAUAUCUACUCUAAAGAUUAAGAGGAUAGAGGGUCUCCUUUCCAUAGAUUCAAUUGGGAUUGAUUCUCAAGAUCGAGCCCUUAUCAGAGGCGCGCCUAUUGACACCUGUCAAAGUCUUCAGCUUACAUGACGUCUCAUUCCAUUUGCUCCAGCUAUGAAAGAAAAGAAUGGGUACAACACUUUCUUCUCUUCUACCGCUCUUUGUUUACUUCUGGCCUUCCCGAACUCCUACAUGGGGGGAGUCAGAUCUUGGAGUAAGCUCCUUUCCAUGGGCAAUCUACUCAAGAGUUUAGGUCUCUAAUUCGGUCUAUGUCUGAGCUGCUGUCAUACUCAAAGGUGAGGGGCUCUAAAAGUGGAUACGAUCGGCCUCAGAGGAGAGGGAAGGUAACUUGGGAUUCUAGGCAAAGUGCUUUUUUUGUAUAUAUGCCUUCGUAUAGGAUAGGAUUUUUAUUCCUUCCGCCAAAGAUAGAAAAGAAAGGAGCUCUCUUUUUUCUAGCCUUCUUUUUAUUUUAAAGGCAUAUAGUGUAUUUUCGCUUUCAGGGGGAAUUCUUGGAAAAAUCUAGUACAAGGAGGAAGCGAGGGUGGGACAAGUGAAUCCGAUGUGAGGGAAGGAUUUUUGCGUUAGUUGAAACUAGGGCAUAUGCAAUUGAAUUAGAAAUGCACUGUAAGAUAAGAAUGGAAGGAGACAGCUAAAGCAGGGAUUGAUCUAUUCCAAAACCACUAGGAAGGGAUAUAUUUCUAAGCUAUUUUCAGUAGACAGGCAGGGAAAAGGACUAAAAACAUUCUUCGCAAGAUGAGAGAAAGCAUUAUAUGAAUCUAACUUUGUUUAUCUCGCAUAUCAACUUCCUUUAUUGAUAGAGUAAAGCUUCCUAAUACAGAGAACAAACAUAGUCGGUAGGUAAUUAAUCUUCCUUUGGAUAGAAGUACGGUAUAUGCAUCAAGAUAUGAUCUUUGAUUUUCCAUCCCUGGCAUUCAAAAGAAAGGGGGCAAAGGGAGAGUUGAAAGCACCCUAUAGAUAAAGAUCGAGAGCCUGUAGACCGGGGUUGAACCAUAUCCCUCUUCUGUUAAUCGAGAGUAUGAUGAAGUGAACCACAAAUAUUGUACGGUAAACUGAUGUUGUGAGCCGAAGAUAGAUACACUUCUUGUUCCCUUUUCCCUUUGAUUCUGUAAUGCUUCUUUCAGGUUUCGCUACCCCUGACUAUAAGAAGAAUGUUAUACUAUAAUAGCGAGGUGCAAGUGUUGCAUAAAGUUCUGUUAUUCAUUGUUCAAGCCUUUCUUUGAGUAGAGCGCUUUAUUUUCGAUCAUUGGCAAAUGCAGAUGGGCUUUCACACCCACUUAUGUUGUGGGUGAGAUGAAGGAAUCCAUCUUAUUACAUAGAAGAAGAUCGUUAGAUAGUUAGCGGCUAAAACAAAAUAAGGGGCAUUGUAUGGAGGUUUCCAAGCAGAGGUGCGAAGCAAUUGAGAUGCAUAUAGAAUAGAUGGUAGGGUUCCAAACCUCACCUAGCACUGAAAGAAAAGGCCUUGUUCUGCAGGGUACGGCCCUGGGCAGUGGAAAAAUAGAAUAAGAUGGAGCCUACCUACUUUGUUCAGACAAAUAGAUAGAUCAAAAUAAUGGAAUCCAGGUGGUUCUUGUGCCACUUUUGAUGGUCUCAAAGAUAGAUGGAAAAGCAUUAGAUCAAUGGCAGGGGUAAUUUCCCUCCCACUCUGAGGAAUAUUGAUCUAGAUCCUUGGGAACAGUUCUUAGAAAAUUAGAUGGAUCGGCUCCAUUGGGAGAUGGGAAACUAUAUACGGAGUUAGAGGUAGAGGGACUUGUACUUGGCUAACUGUCAGAGAGAUGGUAAGUAGAUUGUUCAAUAACUUACCCAUGAAGAUGGAUUUUAUUCUGGUCGGCCACUAUAGUACUAAGAUUGAAAGCUUUCUGGGCAGUCUACACAGAAGGGGUAGUCACCAAACGUGGGAAAGAGAACCUUUUUCUUACUCAAAGGAACUGAUACCAUAGGAUUGUUGACAAGGAUUCCUUAUUGUUUAGACUUUCAUUAAGGAUAGACCUAGGAUUGAAAGAGUCGCAGUAGAUGGAUGAAAUCUUCAAGGGAUUGAUGGUUUCUUCACGAAACGCUCGGACUCUAGAAGAUGAGGACUUUCUCGAAAGGAUAGAGUCAUUGUAUUCUUGAGUACUGAUUCUCUUUUAGGAUGGUAUUCUAUUGAAUGGAGCCUACCUUCUUACUGUUUAGGAUGGGGUAGAUAGAUAUAGUAUGAUUGGAAUGAUGGAUGGUGCACUAUCCUUCUCUCAAUCAUUUCUCAGCAAAACCAACGAGUACAACUUAUUAAAGGGAAACUGCAAAAAAGAUCUUAGAGCUAGCUGUCUCAAUUAUCCACAACACCGGGAUUAAUGUGCACUUUUUUAUACUGGAGUCAUAGCUUAUCUAAAUUCUUAUUCCCACCCCUACAAGGUCUUUAAAUAAAAUUAAGAUAAGACGAUAACUUAUCGUCUGCAUCUAUAACUACUUCUGGUUUAUAUACAUUGCUAAAAGGUUAAAUUCCAAAUGGUUAGGUUAGGGCAGGGUGGAGUUCCUCUUUAGCACUGUUCUUUUAGGUGUAUUUCCAUCUAAUCAAGGCAUCAAAGAAAAAGAAAAGCCGUUCUUUUCUUUUCCACAUUUUUUUACAUUUCAGUUCAGAUACAUUGCUUGACUUGCGCCUUUGCACGCUCAAUCGCUCCCCCAUCCUACCUGCCCUAUUCUAGCACAUCCUCAAGGGCUGAGUGAUUAUGCCAGUGAUCAAGAUAUAAACCACAUAAAUAGGUAGUAAAAUGGUUAUGGACCCAGGAUGACGAAAGGUAAGUGAUGUGUCGGACUUAGAAAAUCUUAGGCCAAACUAAAUGUUGAUCACGGAAGAAAAGAAAGCUUUUAAGUGUAGACGACUAUUUGUACUUGAAAUUCCAUUCCUUUAUCCGGUGGGAGGGUUUAGAUCCAGUUAAUCCAAAAGCAUAUCUAGAAAAAACUCAGUAACACUAGCUACAUCAGUAGAUCAUUGACUAGAAUACCUCCUCUGAAUAGUGUACGUGGACCCUAGUUUCUAUUACUAUGCUUUUAAAUUAAUACAAUAAUGCAUAGAGGCUUUACUCUCAUAAAGAAUAGAAGGUUUAGCGUUAACUCAUUUAAUAAAUAUUCGUUGAUUCACCACACAGAUGAAUCCUACUCUAUAUUUUCCAACGGAUAUUCAUUUGUCUAAAAAGAAUAGACAUAUAGUAGCUCUCUCUCAUAACAAAAUGAAAGUAAGCAAGAAUGAAAUGAGCGCUUACCCUAUCGACUGAAGCUAUUAUCCUAAAAUUAGAAAAUCCUAAAUUAAAAAACUAUAGGAAAGGUAAUAUACUGAGCUAGCCUUCCAUUAUGCACCAAUGUUUGAAGAGAACCGUUAACCUUUACCAAAAGAAGAGCUAUUGGUCAGUGUCCUAUAAUUGAUUGAUAGAGCUCGACCGAUUCAGACAGGAAAGAUACGACUGAUGGAAGCGAUCUAAUUUUAAGAAGGAAGUCAUUUAUGGACUGAUUCUGACCCUUUACCAGAAGAUAAGAGAUUCAUGGUAUGGCUUUAGAAGAGGUAUUCAUUAUACAUAUAUCAUUUUAUGAAUUUCUCGAUUGCCGAUUCACUGUACCUACCUAUUUUCAAUCACCCAGGAAUGUUUACUUGGCCGCCUACCAAUGAUGCCUUUCACUUUAAAAUAGUUCCUAGCACAUGAAAGGACUUCAUCUUAGAAAGUCAAGAUAAGAAAGGAUAAAAGAUGGUCGGUCGUAGAUCAGGGAAUGCCUUUUUUGUUAAAGAGAAUUGGUCGUAGGUGUGAUCAAGGACAUUGAGAUUUAGUACUCUAAAAUAGUAGUCAAAAUUUGCUUUUGAGUGAGCUUCCUUCCUUAUGCUCUGGCCUGACCUUUACGAACAACUUUCUUUCAGCUACCAACUUCAAAGCUUGAUCUCAUCUCUCUUCUUUUGUAAGUUUAGUACUAUUAUUGUUGGCAUGGAAGGAGUUCAUCUUGAAUUUCUAUACAGUGAUUGGAGGUCUUCCUCACCUAUUCUAGUGACAAAGUCCCAUGCGGUCAAGAGAAGAGACUUGAAAUUAGCCAUUAGGUGAAGUACCAAGAAUAGGAUCGACUUCAGCCAUAACCAAUACGGAGGGAUUGACAUAGUAAAGGAGGAUAACAAAGCUAUCAAAGGGAAAUGUCCAGGCUCGGAAUAUCCUUCUUUCGUACCCAAGAGUAGCCCUAUUUCUAAUAGGAGCAAUUUAAGUAUUAAUUAGUACUACCUUAGAUCUAAAAGGAAAGGAAGGAGAAUAAGGGAAGGUGCCAAGUAGAUGAUUGCACAUUACUAAUGUAAGAAACAAGACACCUAAGAAGGGAUGCCAAAAAAAGGCUUCAAUUGUUUCUGGUGAAAAGUCAGUAGUACUAGGGCCUUCGAGUUGGAAUUUCCAACUAUAAACAAGUGUAGCGAAUUCACCUCCAUUCUCAAUUUCUAUUAUGACAGAGAGAGGUAUCAUAAUAGAGUCAAAAUCACGAUUAGAGUCAGUCUAGAUAAAAGAAAGAAUCCAAUCUCCUUCUUCCUGAUCUUAUUGGCCUUACAGCGGGCCUAAGAGCAAGGAAGUCUCAACUCCCUAAUCCCUCAUGGUACGGGGUGAACCUUCUGUCUGAUUCAAUCUCAUCUAUCUUACUUCUUGAUUAAGCAUCCCUUGAAUCACUUUACUCUCGUCCAUUUCUAGUAUUGUAUUAAAGUCUAAAAGAUAAUAAGCAUCUUGCUUUUCUUUUCAAGAUGUACUAAGCGCCAAGCCUACCUGUGUUCUAUCAACACCAAUAAUAUAAUAUAUAAUUUUUCUUUAUAUAGGAUAUUUUUCUCAAUAUUACUUAUACUGAUAUUAAGAUGAAAGAGCAUUGGAUAGAGACUAUAGGGUCUCAUCCCUGCUACAACCAAGAGAUAGGGAGACAACAUUGUAGCAUGAAAUGAGCCAAUGCCAAGUGCUCUCUUUAUUUGAUGCUCCUCUUCUUCCAAAGCAUUGAAUAAAUGAAGAGAGUGACCAUAGAAGAGAAGGAAAUCUUUAACAUUUUACUUAGAUUCAAUUCAACGAUUCAUAUCUUCAUUGGUAACUAAUCUCCUUUGGGUAGAAGCAUGGUAACAAAAAGAAGUCAGCCUUGAGGGUCUUCUAACUGAAGAUAAAGGACCGGUAAUUGAAUCAAUAACCAUAGUUACUAGACUAGCAAUAAAAUUAUCCGUGACAGUAUCUGUUGGUGCAUCUUAUAUGUUUGAUCUUAAUGCCAUUGAACAAGGAUCUUAAUGCUUGCUUGGAGAGCGUAAAUCCUUACGUGGUAAAUCAAUAACAUUGGAUUUAGUUCUUUCCUUCUUUCUUACUUUCAUUGGGUUAGUUUGGACUUUUUUAGAGCUAUAGCAAAGAGUGAUUUAAGCACGUCAUGUACGACCUUGGCAUUAAUCUUGUUAUUGUUAAACAUAUUUUGGAAUAUGUUAUUGACAUACUUCAUCAUAGUUUCUUUACUACUCCACUCCUUUAUUUCAUUUCAUCCUUACUCCAUAUUUGAAUGUAGAUUAAAGGGGAAAGACUUUGAUUGGGAAAGGGGCCUCCUCUGCCUAUGGCCAAUUCGUUACUCACCUGGCUGACUACGACACUGGGUUUUUUAUUAUUGGAGGACUCUUUACGCACUGAGACUUUCCUUGAAAAAAGCAGAGACCUUGCUUCUACUUUUAUCAUAGAUAGCUAAUAUGAGUAGGAAAUAUUUUCAAGAAAUGAAUUGAAUUUUCCAAUAGUAAUAAUCUAAUUAAUUUAGUACGUUUAGCUUGGAACCAUUGAACUUUACCCAAUGACCUAAGAAAAAACCAGUCUUACCUUAGAAUUUUUUCUCUGAUAUCUAUCUUUUGCCUUAACCACAUCAAAGAGGAAUUGAACCUCUUCUAGUUUUUUGAAAAUGCUAAUCCAUUUGAUUUCUACCACCCUUCCCCUCCUCCUUCCUUUGUUAGUUUAACUACAACGGCCAUAGAUACAGGAAGCAGUUCCUCCAUGGAAAAUUGAAAACGUCGAAAUAGGCUGUGGCUUAUAAAUAGGAAGAUAAGGCAUUAGUGGACCGACUUGACAGGACCCUUCUUUACUUUAUCUAACUCGGCGUGCGCUCCUUCUGGCCUUGCGAGAAUAUAUUCAGACACGUGCACUACUCAUAUCGGUACUAGAAGGGUCUAGACCAGGCUUGGAAGACUAUGAGUCCCAACUUUUGUAUGUGAGCCAAAUAACAUAGGUGUACAAGAGCACUUCGUGCCACAACUAUCUCUUUUUUAUAGGUUCUACAAACCGAUGCCUGUUGCAUCAUCUGGGAGAAAAAAAUCAUAGAUAUGCCGGUUAUUAGAAGGAAGAACCUCCAUAAAAAGAUUCCUCGUGUAUCAUUUAUAGCAAAACUAUGAACGGGAGCUAGCAAUCUGAACCAUAUUGAAAAGGUUCCUGAGACACAGCAUGGAAAAGUAACAAUAUUAAGAAAUGAGGUCCAAGAAUAAAGAAGGGGUAGAAUUACUGAAUGAAUACGAGCUGUGGAUAAUACCCGAGGCAUAAAAUAAGUAUUUUUAUGGGAUCCCGAAACCACCAGACACCCCAACCUAAUUUAUGAUAAGCCCACCAACUUUCUGGCAAAAUGCCUAUGAUGAAAAACCACCGACAUGUCAAGAUCAAAAUUUGAAUUGGUUUCUGGUCCUGGUCAGAGACCACUGUGUUUGCACCGGCGGUCCAAUAAAGAGGUGAAGUAGUGGUAUCUUUCUUUCCAUUUCAAAUGACACGCUUUGCCUACUCCCUCCCCAUGUCCACUAGCGCUCCUAUCCAGAGCAAAAAGAGGGCAAAAAAGUGUCGUCGAAGCAGCAUAAGCAGGAUUUUAUUACUACAUAAGUAUAAAGAAGGAUAGCAUUUUGCGCCCACAUAUUUGAAUUUGAGGGUAAAUAUCUCACUUAUUAUACGGGAUCUGAUGUAUCCAAUAGAUCGAAACAAUAUUCCAUUCUUUUCAGUGGCAUCCUUCCGCAUUGGCGGCAAGUGGAGUGCCACAAUCCCAUUCAUUAUUUUUGAUCUACAUAAGCCAAGGCCCAUAACACUGGUGAUGUCUCUGGUAUAAAUGUAAAUAGGAUGUAUAGCUUAUAUAGGAUCUUGUGGAACAGGAUUUGAUUCUGCAAGUGGUUCAGUACAGACGAAGAAAUUUCAAACAAAAGGGUCGAAACUCGCUGAUAGGAAAGUGGAGAAAAACAAAAUAAUGCCAAGAGCUCCAUCAAUCCGCUAUUUAUCAAUAGAAGAAGCUCUCUCUUUAUUAUCUCAUGCCAGAUGCAAUAUUUUUUUCCUUCUCAUGAACCACGGGAGCACCUAGCGCCCAGAGAAGCAAAGCUCAUUAUCCUUUCAGGGUAAAGUGGCUCAUAAAAAAAGGCUGGCCCCUAAAAAUUCUGGUUCCUUCAUGAACAAAGUUUAGAAUCAACAAGGGUUCAUCGAACGAAGGGUGUGUAUAACUAGAAUUUCAUUCUAAUUUUUUGUUCGUAACGAGGGAGAGAUAUAAUGUAGUUCUUCACGAAGUUUGAAAUGAAAGACUAAGGAAAGAAAGAAGAAUACACCAAAAUUCAAGUGCUGCACCAAACACUGGUGGUUGUUUCUUGUUGUAAGUGAAUGCAACGAAAAGACCCAAAAAUAACGAAUAAUGAAAUAAUUCAUAUGUUGACAUUUCAUGCUCAUUUCCAAAUUUCUGCUUUGUUAUUCCCAUCAUCCAGUAACUACAGGAUGAUCCAUAAGAAAGGUGACAUGAUUCGAACCUAUAGCCAGCCUUCCCCUGACCUGCUGGGUUGGGUGGCCAGGUUAGCACCCUUCAUCGCCUCUGUACCCAAAAUAGAUGCACUGUGCUACCUAGCGCCUAAACUUAUCUCCCCUACUCCUCUUCUGGUUGUGCCAUUACCAAUCGCGAGGAACCCCUGGUCCGACUGCCCCUGACCUAAGAAGAACUAUUAUCCUUAUAACCAAACAAGGAUCAACUUCUUACUUCUCGAGCGAUAGUUCCACCAUCCCGACCAACAACUUCUUCGGAGUAGGGGCACCAAAUCUUGCCCAACCUAGUAAAGGGGCUUGGGGAUAGAAGGUUUUCUAGGGAAGAGAAAGUUUCUAGGUUGGAUCUUUUUAGUUCAAAUAGUACUUGUUGGGUAGAUAGAGGUGGUGAAAUCUAACCUUUGCAUCGAUCUUCUUUAGCAGGGUGGGUCAUUUGAGUGUCAAAAUAAAACGAAAUGGUGGUUGUUUUUCCUUGACUUAUUAAACUAGCAUAUGCCCAUUCCUCCUUUGAUGACUCUUAGUAGAGAAAGCCUAAAUUUUCCAAUGUGGAUUGAAAGGAAGUUGGGGAUGGACAUAGAUCUUUCCGCCUAUCCGAAGUAUUGCAAAUAUAGCAAUGUUUUUUGUAUUUUGGAUUUCCCAAUAAUUGGAAGCAAUCUUUACUGGCACAAGGAUCUCCUCACAGCAACCUCUACUAUGAUAGAAACUGACAAUGAGUUUACGAAAGCUUUGAGUAAUGUGGGAUAGGCUAAUCACCAGACUGCUCUUGAAUAGGUUAAUCGUUGGAGACAAGAAUGAGUGAAUCUAGUUUUGAGAGCAUGCCUUACUCUAAUAGGGGGUGUAGUGUUUCAAAAUAAAGGAAAGCACAACUAUAUACGUAAUAUCCUAGCUGUCAACAAGGUAGGUCCGCUAUAAAGCCUACCAGCCAGCCAAAAAGUCCUUAAUAAUGAGAAAGCCAAUUAAAAGGCUAUUCCAUAACUGACUCUUAUUUCCCAGUCGAGGGGGCAUUCAGCCACUGUAAAAAGAGGGGGCAUGGCUGGUACCAGGCUCUAAAAGAGUUUUCUUCGAGCGAGUGGUCUUUCUAUCUUUUUGGGUUAUAUGCCCAAGGCUAUGCUUUUUGUAGAUUAAGAUGGAUUGGUCUUUGCUAUCGUGCCUCUUCCUUGUACCAGUUGAUGCUGGGGCAGUGCUUAAUAUGAGUUUUCUCUUGCCCCAGACAUCUUUUGAGGUCUCCUUCAAUUACAGAGGUUUCGACCAAUGAACUUGCUUAUGCUCCCUUUUGAUCGAGUGCUAUUUCUAUAAAUAAGAUUGAGUAGGAAAAUGUUGAAUUGAAUUCAAUCGAGAUUUCCUCGGCUUCUUAGGAACAUGAGGAACUGGCCUAAUAUCUUUUCAAUCAAAAUCCCAAUAAAAGACAAGUUCUACCAAGGCCAGAAUUUGAAAGAAAGGAUUCACUUUCUGAAAUUUCUAGUGACAUGAUUCCUCCUUCAGAAGCUAAAGUUGAAUAAUCUAUGUCUCCUUUAGGUUCAGUAAAAGAGAUCGAAGCAAAUUCAUCAAUUAAACCACUCUAAUGGUCUCCCCUAAGAUUGACCUCUUUUCCACGUAAACCGAACCUCGAUACCACAUUCAUAAAAAGAUAUGGCCAUCUCUCUAGGUUGCACAACCCCUUUAGACCAUUCUAUUCGUAGCUGAAAACGACCCCAUCGGUCCACUCAUUUUAAUGGACAUUCUUAGUCAUCCUCCAAGGGCCUCAUAGAUCAGAUCGUGAACUCUUUCAGACCCUUAGUUUUAUUUGGUUGGGGCAGAGUUUCAGCCUGCCUUCCACCAAAUAUCAAAAACCUUAAAGCUACCUAACCUACUGGCAUCCCGGCGAAGAGAGUCAUUAUUUGUGUUACAUCGUCAAAUUUGAGAGAGAGUUUUCCUCUUAUCUCUCAAAAUAUAGGCAUUGAAGUGAUCGAGAGAAAAUAAGAAAACUAUUAAUAAUAAAAAUUUUAAUUGAUGUAACGUCUCCAACAAAACUUUGCAUAGACUUAGGAGUGGUUCCACAUAUUUAGGAGUCUAUCGAUUUUUUUCAUAUAUUAAUUUUAGUCAAUAUUUAGUAUUAUAAAAAUAAUAAUAUAAUAAUUUAAAAAGGUAAAAAGACAAUUUUGUCUAAUGCAGGGUCUUUUAAUGAAGGGUAAAAAGUUCAAAUCACUUUUUUAAGGGUCUUCACACUUUUAAUAUAUUAUAGAUUAUAGAUAAAUGUGUAUAAUCAGUAUUUACCGACUAUAAAAGAAAGCAUUUUGACUCCUCAUAAACCCUUAUUUUCUCAACAAAAAAAAAGCUAGCUAAACACUUCACUUUUUAAAAACAACCACUUAAUAUUUUAAAAAAUAAAUAUUUGGACCUUUCAAAAACUUGACCCUAGCCUUACAUUAUACCCAUGAUUCAAUCCCCUUCCCCAACCACAACCCAACUAUCACCAUCACCUCUCCACUGAUUUGCCACCAUAGUCUAUGUAAAUGAAUCACUAGUGUUUAGUAGUAUUUGUUUUCAAUAUAAUUUAAAUUCAUGGAAAAGAAAUUUCAACAAUAAACAAAAACAUGAAGAAAUAAUAAUUUUAUUGAUAAACGAUUGUGGGUACAAAUCUGUUCCUCCCUUGAUUCUUCUCUCUCAAUUUUCUCCAUAAUUUGAGGGUCGUUAGUGACAUGUUUCUUGAAUGUAGGAAUAUUUGGAUUUGAUCUCCUCCAUAAUUUGAGGGCUGUCAGUAGCGUAUUUCUCGAAUGUAGGACUUGAUAUGGAUUUCUUUGUAAUUCGAGUGCCGUUAGUGGCGUAUUUCUCGAACGUAGAUAUAUUUGGAUUUGAUCUCCAUGAAAUGAGGUUUUUUGGAUUUUCUUGAUGCAUUUGAUUAUCAAGAAGAAAGGGUUUUUGGAUCUUCUUAAUUUAUUUGAUUAUCAAGAAGAAAGGGUUUUGAUCUAUAAAUAUCCCAUGAAUUUAUUGGGACUUUGAAGAUACAAAUAUCUCUUUGUGAAUAUCCCGUGAAUUUGUGGGAUAUAAGAGAUGCCUUCUUAAGGGAAUAUUUUCCCCUUUAUAUAGGCAUAAUUCAGGGUUUAGAGUAAACUAGACGAUAAUAAAUCUAACAAAAUUUGAACUUUUUUUGUAGAGUCCCACAAAUUUUAGAUGUCUACAAAUGCCCCCUACUUCAACGCUUGUCGAAGUGUAGACUUGAUGACGAGUCUUAAAGUACACAUAGAUCUUCCAUCUUGAUACGUCUACAAAUCCAUCUUGAUAUGGCUACAGGUUUACAAAUAUGAUUUAUCUACAGAUUUGCGGAUAUGAUUUAUGAGAGAAGAGGUGAAGGGCAGAUUUGGUCCCACUGGACGUGCCAAUUUGUUUGCAACAUAAUUUAAUUCAUGGAAAAUAAACUUCAACCCUAAAUAAAAAUAUGAAGAAACAACAAUUUUAUUAAUAAACAAUUGUGGGUAUAAAUUUAUUCCUCCCUUGAUUCUUCUCUCUCAAUUUUCUCCAUAAUUCAAGGGUCGUUAGUGGCAUAUUUCUCGAACAUAGAAAUAUUUGGAUUUGAUCUUCUCCAUAAAUUGAGCUGUCAGUAGCAUAUUUCUCGAACAUAGGAUUUGAUAUGGAUUUCUAUAAUGCCUCGAGUCUAGUAUCCCGGACGCUAAAGGUUCUCAUAAUCCCGAAGGACCAUAAGCUAACUCAGACUGGUACCUGCUGCAAUAAUUGAGUAAUGACACUGUAUAAUUUGGAAUAAUGGGAUGAAAUUCCAUUAGGUUCAAAACUAUAAUACUGAUGAAAAAAUGAUAAAGUCUGAUAAAACAUCAGAAUCUAAAAUACUGAAUACUAUCUGAAUAUCUAGUCUGAAAAGCCUCUAAACUGAAUUGUCUGAAUAAGGAGUUGAUGGGACAAUACCCCAACUAACUCCAUCUCCUGAAAUACUAAAUGUAAUAUGAUAAUGAAAUAAAAUAAUAUCCUCGAAUGUUGAGGACUCACUGCUAGUCUACUUCUGCCGGCUGAAUCUGAAUCUAUCUAUGCAUGAUCGGUAACCUGGGCGUCCGAACCUAUGGUAUAAAACACCAUAGCAUAAGAGGAAAAGUAUGCGUUAGUACAUGUGAAUAUACUGGUAUGAAAAGUGAGGUAGGCUGAAUGCAAGGGUUCACAUGCAUGAACUAUAACUAACUGAAUAAUAUGAACAUGACUGCGUAAGAAUACAUGCAUGAAUACAUAACUGUAAUUGAAGUCAUAAGGAUUUUGAAUACUGAGUUUACUGAUAACAUAGAUUACUGAUAACUGAUAUACUAUUUACAGAGUGACUGCAUCUGAUAUUCCUAUUUCUGAUAGAACUAGCUGAGUUCCACACUGAGCUGAGUGACUGUAUCUGAUAUUUCAAAAAUCUAUAGAACUAUCAAAGUUCUUUACUGAAGACUAAGACUGAGACUGUAGGAGGUAAUCAUCUAACUGAUAUGCCCAUUUUCUGAAUAGAUUUGGGGUCCAAUCAUAACCCCAGUUGGAAGGGUGUCAGUACUGUGCCAUGGGUAAAGACACUAAAGAGAUACCCUCAUCUGGCAGGUUCCCAAAUGAGAAUGGCGGGACCCUCAACUAUCAGGUUAAGCCACCUCAUCAACCCUCAACUAGAAGGUUUUGAUGUCUCAACCUACGACGGCUACGUUGUUCUGGAGCACAAGGAUUGCUUUUAAAGAUCACACCCUUUGCUGGUAGGUGAGUUCCCAUUCUUAGGUUUAGUCGGUGCUGAAUCCUACUCUUAACUGAAUAGACACUGAACUAAUUUCCUAGUUCAUACUAGGCUGGACUAAUCUGUUACUGAUUGUACUAAUUUACUAAGCUGGACUAAGUUUACUGAGUUUUCCUGAGUUCUAUAACUGAACUAGAGUACUACUGAUCAUGACAUGAUUGAGACUGUUCUGUAACUGACACUAGCUCUAGGCACACAACUAAAUUGUCGGGUAUUAAAUACCCGUAGGACUCGAUGGCAUGAAAAUAAUAAGACAUGACAAUUCUAGAAUACUUGACAAUAGUCUACAACCCAUAAUACGAUCUGUAAGGCAUUUCAUAACUCACUUGAAAGUCAUGAACUUGCACAUAAAUAGGAAUGCAUAAUAACACAUCAUAAUUUUAUUUAACCAAUUUCAUGAGCAUUCUAUCAAACACAUACAAAGUACAGAUUUAACAUAAGUUCAGUGAAGUGUUAAUCCAUCCCUAAAAGGUUUAGUAGUGUCUUCCCUAGUGAGAAGUAUUUUGAACCAUGUAGAAUUUCCCCAAUAUCAACUUUUUGUCAUGCAGAGAAUUGAAUAAGCUUUCUGUCGAUACCAAAUUCGUGCAAAUCCAACACUAGGGUAAAGAGUUAGAGCCAUUUUAGUGAGAUAGUGUGCCACCUGGCACUUUAGCGCGUCGCAGAGCCAGCCAAAAUGGCAAUCAUCAAAAUCCAGUGAGCCUCCGCAAUUAUGGCGGAUCGUACCAAGGCUUAAUUUUAGAAUUGUCAAUUUUCAGUGCACCAAUGUGAUUCCACCACUUCGUGGUGCCUUUCUAGUUUACAACCAAGGUGGCAAUACGAUUUUCACCGCAUCGUGCCAUCAAGCAGUUUCCCGAUUGUCCAAUUUUCAGUGAGCUGGUGCGAUUAUGAUGCGUCGCACUAGCAUGUAAAAUUGGGGUUUUUCAGUUUAAUUCCAAGUGUGAAAAAGGUCUUUUCCCAACCCCUAUAUAUACUUCUUAACACGGGAUUUAGCCUUAUUUCACCCAAAGUAUCAUUGUUUUCUCUCAAAGUUGUUCAAGAACAAUAGCUAGGGUUUCUACAAAAUCAAAACCCUUUCUUCUUCUUCAAGAGAAAUCAAGAAAUCAAGAAUCUCUCCAAGGGCUUGCAAGAAAGAGUUUCUCUAAGGUAUGUAAAUAUUGAUUCUUGGGUCCCUUUCAUCCAAGAAGCUCAAGAACCCUUUUCUAAAUUUCAAAGCUUUUAUGUUAAUGAGUUUUCAUGAUUCAUGUGAGUUUAAAUUGAUGUUCAUGCUAUUAUUGAGUUGUGAUUCAUGUUUUUUUAAAAGGUUUUCAUGCUUUGACCCUAGUAUGUGGUAUUCAUGUGAUGUUCAUGAUAAACCCUCUUCAAGUUGCUUGUUAAGUGACGUGUUCAUGUCAAUUAAGUGUAGAAAUUGUUGAAUAAGUAAAGCAUGCUCCCCAUAUGUUUGAUAAAAUGCUUAUGUGAAUAAAUUAGAGCCAUUAUAGCAUGUUGACUAGAAAUCCCCAAUUGUGUGUAAGCCCAUGCUUGCCAAGUGUUUGUUGAAAAGCCUUAGUGAAUGAAUUGUGGCAUGAUAGCAUGAGAUUCCCCAAUUAUGUGCUCUUUGAUACAUUUUAAGACUUAAUACAUGCUAAGUAUUUGAGGAAUGAAUUGUAACAUGAUAGCAUGAAGUUCCCCAAUUAUGUGUUCUCCGGUACAUGCCAAGACUUAAAUAUGUGUGAAGUGCUUGAUGCAAGGCCUUGUUGAAUGGAGUAUGAUCCAAUAACAUGUCUCCCUAUACUAUCACAUGUUUAUGAUUCUUAAAUGCUUGAAGUGAUGCCUUAGUGAUUGUGAUGCUGAAUGAUUGUCCAUGGUCUUGAUUAUUCAAGAAUGGUUAUGUUUUACUUUUAUGUUAUCGAGUCCUGGGGGUAUUUAUACCCGAUAAUUUAGCUACAGUCUAGACCUCGUAUCAGUUUUCACAAUAAUAUCAGUCAACCCACGAUUCUCAAAAAUCAGUGAGUUAUAGAACUCUGUAUUUUCAGACAGAUACAGAAUUUAAGAAAUCUCAAUAAUCUCCGUACUCUCAGUAUCACUAGUAAUCUAGCCUUAGUUCUGUGCCCAGCUCAGAUCUAGUAGUAUUCAAGUGUUUAGUUCUGACCUCUAUAAUAAUCGUGUACUCUAUUCAAAGCUCAGUGUCGUUCAGUUAGAUAACGAGAUUCAGUAGUAUUCCGUCAGAUACGGAACCAAGUGAAUUUAUCUUAACUCAGUCAAAUCAUUCAAGAAACAUCAUCAGUAUCAGAUUCAGCUUAGUUUGUGUUCAGUUAAGAAUUAGUUCAGAGUCUUUCAAAUUGGGAGUAGGAGCUAGCACCAAGGAGGGUAUUUACCUGUGACACGAUAUUAACACCCUUCUAACUGGGGUUAUACGUUGGACCCCACCAGUUAAGAUUCGAGGCAUGUCGGUUAAGUGACUACUUUCUAUAGUUACAGUUUCAGUAUCAAUCUUCAAAAACUAGGAUUAUCAGAUACAGUUAUCUACCUCAGUGAGGAACUCAGAUAGUCCAUUGAUUCAUGGACCACCCGUCAGAUAGGUUUGGUCCUAUGUAAAGUUAUUUUAUAUCAGAUCUAGAGAUCACCCAUCAGAUAGGCUUGAUCUCAGUCUCGGAUUUAGUUGAGUAUUCUUGUUAUCAGAUCUAGAGAUCACCUGCCAGAUAGGCUUGAUCUCAGUCUCAAAUUUAGCUGAGUAAUCUCAUUAUCAGAUCCCGAGGUCACCCGUCAGAUAGGAUUGAUCUCAGUCUCAGAUUCAGUUGAGUAAUCUCAUUAUCAGAUCCCAAGGUCACCCGUCAGAUAGGAUUGAUCUCAGUCUCAGAUUCAGUUGAGUAAUCUCAUUAUCAGAUCCCGAGAUCACCCAUCAAAUAGGCUUGAUCUCAGUCUCAGAUUCAGUUGAGUAAUCUCAUUAUCAGAUCCUGAGGUCACCCGUCAGAUAGUCUUGAUCUCAGUCUCAAAUUUGGUUGAGUAAUCUCAUUAUCAGAUCCCGAGGUCACCCAUCAGAUAGGUUUGAUCUCAGUCUCAGAUUCAGUUGAGUAAUCUCAUUAUCAGAUCCUGAGGUCACUCAUUAGAUAGGAUUGAUCUUAGUCUCAGUUUCAGUUAAGUAAUCUCUUUAUCAGAUCUCGAGAUCACCCGUCAGAUAGGCUUGAUCUCAGUAUCAGAUUCAGUUGAGUAUUCUUAUUGUCAGAUUCAGACAUGAUCUUUUCUUAUCAUUGAUAGUAGAUUCUGGAAUCAUCCGUUAGAGAGAUUUGAUCUCUGAUACAGUCAGUCGAAAGUAGAAAGCUCAGAAUUCAGUCAUGGAUAUGAGUAAAUUGAGUUAAUCAGUUUUAGUACUUCGAGUCACGAUGAUUUCAGUUAUGGUUUGUGCAUUCAUGCAUGUGUUCUCAUUCAGUACUCUCAUGAUUAUUCAGUUAAGUAAUUAUUCAUGCAUAAGCCCUUGUAUUUAGCCUUACCUUAUCUUCAUACUUGGUAUGUUCUCUUACUGACGCAUUUAUGCUAUGGUGUUUUAUUUGACACCAUAGGUUCAGAGUCACGAGAUCCAAAGUAUCCUUAGCAACUCAGUCUCAGUCAGCAGUAGUAGACAUAACAGUGAGUCCUCUUCAGUCGAGGAUGAUCCUUAUUUUUAUCAGUAUCGUAUCAUAUUUGGUUUAAUUUCAGUAGACAAAGUUAGUUGGGGACAUGUCCCAUCAACUCCACAGUUUAGAAAGUUUAGAGGCUUUUCAGAUAGAUGUAUCAGUAUUAAGUUUUCCAUUUUGAGUAUUUUUAGAAUUUUUGAACCUUAUGACUAGUUUCCGCAUUUAUUAUCUAUAUUAUGUAGUGUUCAGGUACAGAUAUCAGUAGAGGGUUAGCUUGUGGUCCUUCAGGAUCAUAAGUGCUGUGUCACAUUCCAGUUCCAGAAAAUUGAGUCGUUACACAAUCUCAAUUUAGCAUUUUAUCAAACACAUGGUAGGCGUAACUUUAUACUUGGGUAUGAUCAAUAAUGCUAAUACAUCAUGACUUCAUAACUCAAGGGUUUCAAUAUAAGAGAAUCAAAAUUCAACUUACAUGCUAUCAUAAUAACAAGAAACACAUAAAGAUUUCAACUUGGAAUACAUUCCACAACAUCAACAUGAUUACAUUCAAACCCACAACAUGGAAAUCAUAAUUAAUGUUUUUAAAAGAAGUUUCUUGAACUCCAAGGGUGGAAGGGACCCUUGGAUGAACACUUUACAUACCUUGUUGAGGAAUUUCUAGAAAUUAAUGGUGGAAAUCUUGAGUUCUUGAUUUGAAAUUAAAAAAUCCUAAGGCUUGUUCUUGAAAAAAAUUGAGAAAGAAUGCAUUUAUUUGCUUCCUAGGGUAUUAAAUUUCAUGUUUUGGAGGCUGAGAGUCGGGGGAAAAAGACCCAAAUACCUCCAAGUCGACUGAGACAUAGCAGUAAUGAAGCCAAUCCAUGCUGAAAAUGACAUCAAAAUUAGCCACCUCUAAUUCGACUAAGUCUGCUGAAGUUAUUUUCUGAGAUACCAUAUCCGGAUAGUUCCUGUAUACCCAUCGGGCUAUGAUGGAUUUACCCACUGGGGUAGAGACUGAGAAAGUCUCUGCUAGAAUUUUAGGAUUAACUUUGAAAUCAACUGCUAUAUAAGGAGUAACAAAAGACAAAGAAGCUCCUAGAUCUAGCAAAGUAUAAACAUAUAAGUGAUAAACUUGUAAUGUACUAGUGACCACGUCAGGAGAACUUUUCUGAUCCUGGCGGGACUAAAGAGCGUAGAGUCUGCUUGAAUGUUUCCCACUGGUGGCACUGGAUGAGGCACCCUGCUGAUUCAGGCGACCGAACUGAGCUGGAGGACGGUUUUGCUGACCUUGAGAACCUGACUGGGGAUAAUCUCUGACUCUGUGGCUUGUCUUGCCAUAUCCAAAACAAACAUCACGCCAGCUCUAAAAAUACCUCGAUGGUUUUUGCCACAAGUCUGACAAAGAGGAUUGGUUCGGGCACUGCUGACACUACCCUGAGACUUAGAGCCUGGCGCCCUAUCUCUAUUACCGUCUUUGAAUUUUGGAACUGGAGCACUAGAUGAGGAUGGAGAUGGAACUGAAGAUUUUAGGCAGAAUUGGGAAUGAUUCCCACCCUUUGACUUAGGCUGAGCAAAGUUAAAACUACCUAUUCUAGCUUUUUUGUUCUGCUUCUUUCUCUUCUUAUUCUUCUACUUCUCUAUCUGUUAAGCAUGGAUCAUUAGCCUAACCAAGUCUAUCUCACAAAUCAACAUUGUGGUCCUGCACUCUUUAACCACACUAUUAUUCACCCCAAACACAAACUUACUCAUUCGAGAUCUGCUAUUUGCCACCACAUGAGGAGCGUAUAUAGCUAAUUGAGUAAACUUAAGAGACUACUCUUUCAUUGUUAUAUUACCCUGCUUCAGAUUAAUAAACUCUAACACCUUAGCUUUUCUCAGCUCUAAGGGAAAUAAUCUAUCGAGAAAAGCAGUGACAAACUCCUCUCAUUCAAUGGGCCCUACAUCUACGACCCUCUCUGCUUUUCACUAUUUGAACAAAGUGUGAGCCACAACCUAAAACUAAUAUCCAGCUAGCUCAGCACUCUCACUAGCUUUCACCCCCAUAAUAUCUAUAAUAUUCUGCACCUGAUCAAGGAAUUCCUGAGGGUCCUCAUCUGACUUAGACCCGAUGAAAGAUGGAGGGUUCAUUUAGGUGAAGUUUCGAAUCCUGCCUACUGAAGUAUUGGCCACUGGGUUGGCCGAAAUAACAGUUGGACAUUCAUUCUGAGUAGUAACUGAAUGAGCUAGGGUGGUGAAAGCUGCUCUGAACUCAGUGUAGGAGACAUGUUCACCCAAAGGAUUUGGCUGAACAGACUAAGAGGCUGACUAAUCUCCCAUUCCUCUUCCCUGAGUCUUCUUUGGAGGCAUUUUCUAUAGAUGGAAGAGAAACUUGUAUUAAAAAGAGAGUUUACCUGGAGCUCAUGAGCACUCUCAAGACAAGAAUACUGAAAAAAAAUUUUGUUCCUAAAAUAACUCGUAGCCUCCUAUCCAUAAGAAUGGCUUGCUAUACACUCAUGCACAAGACUCUAAUAGAUACGACUUUCAGUCUUCCAAUGACACUGUUGAACCUUAGGCUAUAAUAUCAAGUUUGUAACGCCCCAAUUCUGGUACCCCGGACGCUACACGGUACUCAUAAUCCCAAAGGAUCAUAAGUUAACCCAUGACUGGUACCUGCUGCAAUAACUAAGUAAUAAUACUAUAUAAUACUGAAUAAUGGGUUGAAAUGCCAUAAGGUUCAAAAUUGUAAUAUUGAUGAAAAUAAAAUGAUAAAGUUUGAUAAAACAUAAAAAUCUGAAAUACUGAAUACUCUCUGAACAUCUAGUCUAAAAAGUCUCUAAACUGAACUGUCUGAUACAGAGUUGAUGGGACAAUCCCCCAACUAACUUCAUCUACUGAAAUAUUGAAUGUAAUGAGAUAAUAAAAUAAAUGAAUAUCCUCGAAUGAUGAGGACUCACUGCUAGUCUACUGAUGCUGGCUGAAUCUAAAUCUAUCUACGUGUGAUCGAGAACCUGAGCAUCUAAACCUAUGUUAUAAAACACCAUAGCAUAAGAGGAAAAGUAUGUGUCAGUACGUGUGAAUGUACUGGUAUGCAAAGUGAGGUGGGAUGAGUGUAAGGGUUCACAUGCAUGAACUAUAACUGACUGAAUAACAUGAACAUGACUGCGUGAGAAUACAAGCAUGAAUAUAUAACUAUAACUGAAGUCAUAAGGAUUUUAAAUACUGAGUUUACUGAUAACACAAAUUACUGAUAACUGAUAUAAUGGAUAACUAAUAUACUAUUUGCUGAGUGACUGUAUCUGAUAGUCCUAUUUCUGAUGGAACUAGCUAAGUUCUACACUGAGUUGAGUGACUGUAUCUGACAAUCCAAAAAUCUAUAGAACUAUUUGAGUUCUUUACUAAAGACUGAGACUGGGGGAGGUAAUCAUCAAACUGACAUGCCUCUUUUCUGAAUAGAUCUGGGGUCCAACUUGUAACCCUAGUUGGAAGGGUGUCAGUACCAUACCAUAUGUAAAGACACUGAAGAUAUACCCUCAUCUGGCAGGUUCUCAAAUGAGAACGGUGGGACUCUCAACUGUCAGGUUAAGGCACCUGAUCAACCCUCAACUAGCAGGUUUUGAUGUCUCAACCUACAUUGGCUACGUAGUUCUAGAAUGCAAGGACUACUUCUAAGGAUCAUACUCUCUACUGGCAGGUGAGUCCCCAUCCUUGGGUUCACUCGGUACAGAAUCCUACUCUCAACUGAAUAGACACUGAACUGAUUUUCUAGUUAAUACUAGAGUGGACUGAUCUAUUACUGAUUGUACUGAUUAACUGAGUUGUACUGAGUUUACUGAGUUUUCUUGAGUUCUGUAACUGAAAUAGAGUACUACUAAUCGUGACAUGAUUGAGACUGUUUAGUAACUAACACUGGCUCUAGGCACACAGCUAAAUUGUCAGGUACUAAAUACCCCAGGACUCGAUAGCAUGAAAAUAAUAAGACAUGAUAAUUCUUGAAUACUUGAUAAUAGUCAACAACUCACAAUAUGAUCUAUAAGGCAUUUCAUCACUCAUUUGAAAGUCAUGAACUUGCACAUGAAUAGGAAUACAUACUAACCCAUCAUAAUUUCAGUAAACCAAUCUUAUGAUCAUUCCAUCAAACACAUACAAGGUAUCUUCAACAUGGAAGACAUUGUGAACAUGUGGUAUAGCUUAAGUUCAUCAUUUAAACCACCAAAGGAUCACAAAAGCACCAUAGUCUCAAUUUAGCAUUUUAUCAAACACAUGGUAGGCAUAACUUUAUACUUGGGUAUGAUCAGUAAUGCUAAUACAUCAUGACUUCAUAACUCAAGGGUUUCAAUAUAAGAAAAUAAAAAUUCAACUUACAUGCUAUCAUAAUAUCAAGAAACACAUAAAGAUUUCAACUUGGAAUAUAUUCUACAAUAUCAACAUGAUUACAUUCAAACCCACAACAUGGAAAUCACAAUUCAUGUUUUUAAAAGAAGUUUCUUGAACUCCAAGGGUGGAAGUGACCCUUGGAUGAACACUUUACAUACCUUGUUAAGGAAUUCUGGAAAUUAAUGGUGGAAAUCUUGAGUUCUUGAUUUGAAAUUUAAAAAUCCUAAGGCUUGUUCUAGAGAGAAAUUGAGAAUGAAUGCAUUUAUUUGCUUCCUAGGGUAUUAAAUUUCGUGUUUUAGGAGCUGAGAGUCAGGGAAAAAAGACCCGAAUACCUCCAAGAAUGCGGUCUUUUAACGAGUGAAAACUGGAUUGCCGACGUACAGGUCGACGCGAUGGGUCGUUGGCACCUAUGCGUCGGGGACUAUGUUUUACCUUCUUGCCAAACCUCUUCACUCCCUUCAUGGGAGAUAUUUUCAAAUACAUAUAAUCGUCAAUCUCAAACUUGAGAUCCUUUCUGCGCAUAUCUGCAUACAAUUUCAGUCGGCUCUGAGCUGUCUUAAGAUUUUCUCUGAUCAACUAAACUUUUUCUAAGGUAUCGAAUACUCGGUCAGGCCCUAUAACUAAAGCCUUAACCACCUCAAACCAAGCGAUUGGAGAUUUGCAUCUCCUACUAUAGAGAGCUUCAAGCGGAGCCAUCUAAAUGCUAGAAUGAUAGCUGUUAUUGUAUGUGAACUCAAUCAAAGGCAAGUGGUCAUCCCAACUACCUUUAAAAUCUAUCACACAUGCUCGCAGCAUAUCUUUCAAAGUCUGAAUGGUCCUUUCUGGUUGACCAUCUGUCUGGGGAUAAAAGGUUGUAUUGAGAUGAGUUCGGAUACUAAGACCCUUUUGGAAUGCCUUCCAGAAAUGAGAGGUGAACUGGGUACCUCUAUCUGAGACAAUGGACAAUGGAACUCUAUGAAAUCUGACCAACUCUUUGAUACAGAGUUUGGUGUAAUCCUCAGUUGAAUACAAGGUAUGGACUAAAAGGAAGUGAGAUAAUUUGGUCACCCUGUCUAUGAUGACCCAAACUGAAUUGUGCUGAUGAUGAGUACGAGGUAAACCUAUCACAAAGUCCAUAUUCACUUCUUCCCACUUCCAAGUAGGGAUACUAAACUCCUGCAUGGACUCACUUGGCUUCUGAUGCUCAAUCUUAACCGACUGACAUAUUGAGCACUUAACCCGAAUUCUACAAUGUCUCUCUUUCUCCUACUCUACCAAUAAAUCUCCCACAAAUUGCGGUACAUCUUAAUGGCCCCUGGAUGAAUAGAGUAAUGCGCACCAUGCACCUCUGCAAGAAUUCACUGCCUCAAGUCAUUCAUACUUGGUACACAUAGAUGACCCUGACAACGUAAAACACCAUCUCCCCCUUGGGAGAAAACCUCCACCUUCUGAUCUCUGACUGACUUUUUCAACUUGUCUAAACUGGGAUCUCUAUCCUGCUUUUUCUUUACUUUAGAAACUAGAGAUGAUUCUAAACUGUUCUGAACCCACACACUACCUUCUGCUGAAUCGACUAAGCGGACACCUAGUCGGUCAAGCUGAUGAACUUUCUGAACUAACUUCUUAUUACUGUCCUCAACAUGAGUAACACUACCCAUAGACAGUCUAUUGAGAGCAUCAUCCACUACAUUGGCCAUGACCGGGUGAUAAAGAAUGCGCAUAUCAUAGUCUUUCAACAACUCUAACCACCUUAUCUGAUGGAGGUUUAAGUCUUUCUGAGAAAACACAAACUGAAGGCUUUUGUGAUCUAUGAACACAUCUACAUACACCCCAUACAAGUAGUCCCUCCAUAUCUUUAAGGAAAAUACUACUGAUGCUAACUCGAGAUCAUGAAUCAGAUAAUUCUUCUCAUGGGAUUUAAACUAUCUGGAGGCGUAGGCUAUGACCUUACCAUACUACAUGAGGACACAACCCAAACCUACUCUGGAUGCAUCACAGUAUACUAUAAGCUUAAAGGACUGAAUUUUCAAAGUCUAUUACCUUACCAUACUUAGCUAGAACUUUCUAAGUCUGGGAUCCCUUAACAAGCUUAAAGGACUGAAUUAAUCUAGGAAUUUUGUGGGGUCUUACAAUUUCUCUAUAAUUCGAGGGUCGUUAGUGGUGUAUUUCUCGAACAUAGAAAUAUUUGGAUUUGAUCUCCAUGAAGGAGGUUUUUUUAAUAUUCUUGAUGUAUUUGAUUAUCAAGAAGAAAGAGUUUUGAUAUAUAAAUAUCCCAUGAAUUUAUUGGGACUUUGAAGCUACGAGUAUCUCUUUGUGAAUGCCGUGUGAUUUUGUAGGAUACAAGAGAUGCCUUCUUAAGGGAGUAUUUACCCCUUUAUAUAGGUAUAAUUCAGGGUUUAGAGUAAACUAGACUCUAAAAACUCUAACAGAAUUUGGAUUUUUUAUAGAGUCCACAAAUUUUAGAUGUCUAUAGUAUAAAUCUUCAUAUUUACGAUUUUACAACACAUCAUGUAUAUUGCUAACUGUUUUAUAAAUCUACUAUACUUUUUUUUAAUCAAAACUGAUCAUUUGGGAUAAAAAUUGUAAUUAAAAAAACUAAAAAAUAAAAUAAGGUCAUCCAUCCAAAUGGGUAAUUUGAGCCAAUUCAAUAACAUUGUUUUGGGGUGGGUGAGGAGUGGGGGUGGGGGGAGGGUGUACAUUUGAGAUCAACUUUCAACAAAGGGUAAAGUUACCUAAUUUUGAUAAUUCAAGUACUCCCUCCAUUUCAAAAUAACUGAAUUGUUAAGCUAUUUUUUUGUGUUCAAAAUAAAUGAAUUGUUCAGUCUUUUAAGAGACAUGUUGAAAAUUUCUUUCAAUUUUAUCCUUUCAUUUAAUGAGGUUUUAAGUACUUCACAUUUUCUGAGAGAGUAAUUUUAAAACAGUUAAAAAGGUAAUAGUGAAAAGUAACCUACAAUUUAUGUGCUAAAAGAUUUUUUUUUAAGGAUGUGUCAUACCCAACAAUUCUAUUAUUUUGAAAUGGAGGGAAUACGGUUUGACCUUUUCCAAUGUCAAAAGGAUAGGUCAGGCUUUCCAUAUGGUAUGACAAUGAAUGGGUGAUCAAAGAACAACUUUGUGUUUUCAAAACAAUUAUAGCUUAUUUUCCGAGUAAACAUUUUCCUUGUACCAGUCAGGCCUAUUCUGAAGGUUUAUUGGAACUAAUUUGAUCUUAUCUUACAAACCCUGAAAUUAAGGAUUUUUGAACUUUAUUCAAUUAAUAUUUGAUUUUGUAAAUUCAGAAAUUGUUGAUGAAAUAAAUGGUCCAAGCUCUGAUAUUAUGUAGAGAUGGAAAGCAAAUGAGAAAUUAUUUCUAUCUCACAUGCUCGAGUCCCACAUCGGUAGGUUCACAUCGGUGAGCUAGCUCAUGAAGAGAAAAUUGCCAAAUAUGAUAUAUAGAGAUCAAGGAUGUUUAAACCCAUAGACGUGGGACUCCAGUAUGUACGAUUUUGUCUCCUAUAAAUGCAAAUAAUAUACAACUGAAAGUUAACAGAUUGAAAAUACACAAUAAUAUUUUCUCAUUUGCUUUCCAUUUUUUAAGACAUCAAUUUCUUAAUUAAUCUUUUGAAAUCAAAAUUUGUUUUGAUUUUGUGGUAAGAGCAAAGUUCACAAGGUAUUAGUUAUGCACAUAUUAAAAUUCUCAUCUUGUUGUAAACAAGAACCUGGUGUUUAAGCAUGAUCAACAAGGUACAGGUACAUCAGAUGCGUUAAAUUAAAGGACUUGUUUUAAUCAAGUUGAGGUAUCUGGAUGAAAUCCCAUGAAGUAAUGGAUUUAGAAAAUAAAACAAGUUGAAAUCUAUAUUAACUAUUCUGCCAAAAAAUGUGAGAUGGAAUCAAGCAUACGAGGAAAAUAACAAGAUACAAUGAAAUGAACCUUGACAUUCCUGGUAAUCCACACACGUUGAGUAUAAGGCCCUUAAUAAUUGAUGUACAACCUUCAGAGAGAAAACAACAUAUCUUUAUUUAACAACAUAAUGAAAAAACAAAACCUCUCUUUUUUCUACAGGAAGACAAGUGGCGGGUGCCAUGAUUAUUAUUAUAUAGAUAUGGACGAUACAGACCCUACUAGAAAUGGUGAAUUUCCAAUAGAAUUUAUCAAAAAUUGGCUUGUUGGAAAAUGUCAAGAUGGACUUAUCAAAAUAACAAAUCAAUUUCUGGUGAGACUUUCAUUGAAAAUUCAUAUUUUUUUAGUAGAAGAGAAGGGUAACUAAACCUGGUAGUUCCAUCGAAGAGAGACGGGGGUUGAGAAGUACAAUCAUGAGAUGGUGAUAAAGCUUCUUGAACACUUCUACACAAAUAGAGCCAAAAUAGAGAUAAAACAUACAUAUUCAACCAUCACUAAAUCCAGAACUUUAAAAUAAAUAAUGAUCUUGGUGUUAUAUAUAUAUAUUAUAAAAGCAUGAAUAACUAUGUUGGUUGACUAAAAUAUUCACUAAAAGUUGAUUAACUUAUUUACCAUUUUAAGUUAUAAUUUCUUUCAUUUAAAAAUUUACUAAUAGAUAUAAAUGUAAUUUUAUCUUAAAACUAAACAAAUAUAUCAUAUAAGGACAAACUUUGGCUUUUUUAAAAAUACAAUCUAAAUAAAAGCAAAUAAACUAAAACAACAUUUAUACACCGAGCAUUAAUUCUAUUUCUUUUUUUAAACUAAAUAUUUUGUUCCCCCAAAAGUCAAGUAACAUUAGGAGUUUUUUCCAGCGAAAAGAUGUGUAAUUGAGAUCAAACACAAUUUGAAAGAGAAAAUCGAAUAUCACAAUUUAGAAAUAUUCUUCCGUAUCAUCUAUCAAAUAUGCCUCAUUCUCCACUAGUGUUCUUUCAAUUUUCUCCUCACAUACUUUGUGUUUUUUUUUCCAUUUGAUAUCUAGGAACUUGAGACUUGAGACUUGAGACAAUGUUAUAAGUGAUCACACCACAUAUAAGUAUAAUUUAUUAUUUAACUUAAGUAUUAUAAUAAUCGACGAGUGAUAUAUGUCUAAUGUACAUAGAGAUGAUCGGAUAUCGAGUCGAGAAAUUAGUCCCACAUCAAGGGCUUAGGACUAGGGUUAGGUUAGAGAGUCAAAAUUAGGUUUGGGAGAUAGGGUUGAGGUUAAGAUUUGGGUCGAUCUCUGGCUAGAAAUUGGAUCUUUGGCUUGGAGUUAUAUCUCAGGUCAAGUUGGAUUCGAGAGUUGGGUCUGAUAUCACAGUAUUUGCCACGUUAUAUCUAAAUGCUCUCGGAACAAUAUUUUCUUCUUACUAACAAAACACUAUAAAAUAAGUAAGAAAGCUUACGUGUGGAAUUUUCGUAGUAAAAAAUAUCCCUCCGCAAUUAUUUCCAGUCUUGUGUAAGAAUCAUUACAAAUCAAAUUUAGUCAUUGUAGACACCUAAUUUUUUCCCUCAUAAAAAUCCAAUUUAUCCAUUUUUUGCUUCACCUUAUCAUAUACCUUCACCCAUUUAAUAAUUUCCCUCCCCCCACAAGAAUCUAAAUAACAAACUCUCAACAAAUUCACCACCCACCCUAACUAAGUUGGCCACCCACACCCCUACCCCAUAACCCCUUAUACUUCAUACCCACCCCACUCACAAUUCAUACAUAUAUAAACAUCACUGUAUAUAUAGAUAGGGGAGGACCUUUUCAUUUUUUCAAUUCAAUUCACAAAACACACAAACGCACCUCACAUAUAGAUACACAACUUACCUUUUUUUCUCAUCCUCACCAUAACACUCCACUGAUGAAUACAUAUAAUUAACACACACUCACCUUCUAUUCAAUUCUCAAACAUUCACUCAUGCACAAUCACUCAUAGAAUUCAUACACACACUCAAUUCUCUACACUGAUCUCACCACACUCACAUAUAGACAAACAAUGAUAAAUACUCAUACCCACCAUAGAUAAAGGAUAGAAAAAAAUAGGAAAGAUGAGAGGGAUGGAAUAGAGAGAAGAAAGGUGAGAGAAAAUUAGUGAGACAUAAGAGGGAGAGAUGAGAGGGAGGAGAUAUAUGAAGGUAGACGAUUUUCGACGAGUUCUCACGUGAAACUGUAAUACCUCGAGAAUCCAAACCAAUAUUAGAACCAUGCUUCAAGAUCAUGAGAAAUAAAUUAUAGUACUUGGUGGUUUUAUGAGAGAAUUUGAUGUAUAUUAAGGCCUCAAAUAACUCCUAGCUAUUAGACAAAUCAAAAUAUCCCUUAUCGAUUGAGUUCAUGAGAAGGAUGUUGCUAUAGUAAACUUUAAAUAAAUAUAUCUUUCAUUUUACUAAGAAUUUUUGAGAUCAUGAUCCACCAAUAAAUACAUAAUUGAAUUAUCUUUCCAACAAUAUCAAUUUUUCUAAAAUCUGAUACCCGGUGAGAAGUUAUGACACUUUUAGUGAGAGGCAGUAGCUUACCACGAUCAUGCCGAGUCGUUGUGAUCCCCAAAAUCACACUCAUCCCUUUCCAGUAGCUCACCGUGAUUGGCCAGUGUCACACCAAAAAUCAUGGUGGAACAGGAGCCGCAUCUCGGAGGAGUACAAAUAUACAAUCGUUCAUUUCCAGUGAUGCAAUGCAAUAGCACCGCAUCGCACCAAGGUACAAAAUCGGGAUCAACCUUUUUCCAGUGGUGCAACGUGAUAGCACCGCAUCGCUCUAGAGUGCAAAAUCGGGAUUCCUGUUCAAAGUUUUAAAUUCCCAAGGGUAUUUUAGUCUUUUCCCAAGCCCCCAAGUCGUGAAAAAUAAAAGAUUAAACCUAUUCUAAGCCUUGUACGCUUAUUAUUCACCAAAAUUUCUCUCAAAGAAAACCCUAAAGCUUCACCUUUCAAGAUCAAUUCCCAUGAAAACCCACCAAAGACUUUCAAGAAUUCUUUAAUUAAGAUAUGUUAAAUAUUCAUCCAUGGGUCCUUUCCACCCAUGGAUUCCAAGAACCUAAUUUCAAAUUCAAAGUUGUGAUUUUUUACAAGUUAUUGUGAUUUUAACCAUGAAUCCCCAUGAAUUUUUAUUUUGUACCAUGUUUACAUGUAAUUGUUGUUGUUAUUCAUCCCCACACAUUUGAAAGGUGUUUCACUGAAUUAAACCUUAAUUGAUGAUUUUGGUAGUGAAACCAUGCUAUUAGUACAAGUUUUAAAACUAUUCAUAUGCUUAGCUUAAACCAGUAAUUACAAGUGUUUGAUGAAAUGCCUACAAGAAUGAGUUUUGAAUGAAUGCUUACAUAUCAUGUGCUCAAAGUUUUAGCACAAUCUUGCUAUUAUUGUUAUCGAGUCUUGUGGGUUUGAAUACCCAAAAUUUAGCUGCUAACCUAGCCUUUCAGUAUUUAUAAAAUGGUUACCAAAUAGUUAUGACCCCUAUUUUUUCAGUCAAUAUUUUAAAUAGUUAAGCAUAGCCAGUCUAAUAUUUUUGGUCUUUCAGUUGUGAGUAGGAUUUAGCACCGAGCGAAUACAGGAAGGACGGCUUUCCCAUUAGUUAGGCAGAGUCAUUAGUAUCAAUUUUUGCAUUCUAGAACUAGAUAGCCAGCGUAGGAUAUGAGGAGUCAUCCGUCAGUUUAGACUUGACUCUACCCAGGUGUCACCCAUCAGUUUACGCUUGACAUCCUGGUUGUUCAGUAGCUUAGUGGAUCCACGCAGCCAUGUAUUAGUACCUGUGGCACGGUACUGACACCCUUUCAACUGGGAUCAUAGGUUGGACCCCAAUUAGCUCAUUAGGGCAUAUCGGUUAGAUUAUAGCUCCCCCACUCUCAGUCUAGUAUUCAGCUCAGUAAUCAGUUUCAGAUUUUCUGACCCUAUCAUACAGAUAUCAGUUAUCUAUUUAUAAGUAGUAAUUAUUUUAGUUUACAGAUUAUAUUCAAAACAUGUGUUAUGCUUGGUCAUGCAUUCUCAUUCUUUAUAGAUUUUAUGCAUUCUACUCUGUACUUUAUGCUAUUCAUUUAGUCAGUUAUUACUCAUGUACAUGAAAUCAUACAUAUUAACCUAACCUUAUUUGGCAUAUCAGUACAUUCAUAGUACUGAUCGCAUACCCAAUUCUUCUGCUAUGAUGUCUAAUAUCAUAGUUUUGGACGCUCAGUUCCCCGAUCAUGCAUAGGCAUACCAGAUUAUCAACUGUAGUAGUGGCGAGUCCUCAUACUUUGAGGACAUAGUUUAUUUACCUCAGCUUACCUUAUCAGUUUAGUAUUUACUAUUCAGUCGAAGUUAGCUGGGGGUUUGUCCCAUCAACUACACAGUCAGUCAGUUAUAGGCUUUCAAAUACUUUCAAUCAGUUAUUCAGUUAUUAGAUUCUAUUGACAAUCUUAUAGUAUUAUUUUCAGACAUAUGUUUUCAGUAUUUUGAUACAAUAUCAUGUUUCUUAAUAAAACCUUGUGCCAUUUUAGUUAGUUCUGCAUAUAUUCCUUAUCAUUCUAUUCAGUGCUCACAGCAGGUACCAGCAUGGGUUAGCUCGUGUUCACUUGUGACCGUAGGCACCGUGUAGUGCCCAGGGGGUACUCUCGGGGCAUUACAAACUUGCUAUCAAAGCCUAAGGUUUUAAAGCAUCCCAGGGAGUCUAAAAGCCACGACAAGUAGAGUCUUAUACAUGGGUGUGAAAUGCGCCACACUUAUGGAUAAGAGGCUAUGAGAUGUUUUAGGAAAUAUUUUCCUUCUUUCAGUGUUCAUAUCAUGUGAAGGAGCAGGAGCUUAAGUUAAACUCUAUCUAAUUCAACUUUUUCUUCUAUUUACAGAAUAUGCCUCUUAGAAAAACUAACGGAAGAAGAACCAAAAACCAGCUAACACCUCCACCCAUUCAGCAAGAUCCCCUGAAUAAGCAUGUUUCUCAUGCAGAGUUCAGAGAUACAUUCACCACUCUAUCUCACUCUGUAGCAGCCCAAAAUGUAUGGCCAGCUGUUGUUUAGGCAAACCCAGUGGCCAAUACUGAUGCAGCUAAAAUUUGGGACUUCACUCAAAUGAAUUCUCCUUCAUUUUUGAGAUCUAAAUCUGAAGAGGAUCUAUAGGAAUUUCUCGACAUGGUCCAGAAGGUAACGAACAUUAUGGGGGUGACUUCCAGUAUGAGUGUUGAAUUGGCUGCUUACCAACUGCAGGAUGUAUCCCAUACCUAGUUUAAGCAAUGUAAAGGGGAUAGAGGCGCAGAUGCAGGGCCUAUAGAGGGAGGAGUUUGCUACAAACUUCUUUGAUAGAUUCUUCCUGUUGGAGUUGAGGGAAGACAAAAUGUUAGAGUUUAUCAACUUAAGGUAGGGCAACAUGAGUGUGAAGGAGUGUUCCCUUAAAUUUACUCAGCUAGCUGGGUAUGCUCCUCAUGUGAUGGCUGAUAAUAGGUCUAAGAUGAGCAAGUUCGUGUCUGGUGUAUCUGACAGUGUGGUCAAAAAGUGUAGGACCACAAUGUUAAUUAAAGAGAUGGACUUGUCUAGGAGGACUUCUCUAGGCUGAUGGUCCAUGCUCAACAGAUUGAGUAGCAGAAGACUAAGAAGAGAGAGAGAGAGUAAGAGGGCUAGGAUAGGUAGUUUCAACUUUGCUCAGCCGAGGUCAGAGGGUGUUAACCGUCCCUAAUUCCAUCAUAAAUUAUUAUCUCUAGCUCCAUCUUCAGCUAGUGCUCUUAUGCCAAAGUUCAAAAAUGACAAUCGGGAUAGGGUGCCAGGCUCUAAGUCUGAUGGCAGUGUAAACAGUGGUAGCACAAAUCCUCUUUGUCAAAAAUGUGGUAGGAACCAUCCGAGAGAGUGUAGGGCUAGCAGUGAUGUCUAUUUUGGGUAUGGUAAGCCAGUCUAUAGGAUUCAAGAGUGUCGAGUGGUUGCUCAAAAGAGAAGGGAUGUCUGCCAGCAGGGCCAGUCUCAUCAGUAAUCGGCUCCAGCUGGUCACCCGACUAAGCAGAGCGCCAUUCCCAGUGCUACUAGCGGUCAACAUCAGAAUAGGCUCUAUGUACUUUAGUCCCGAUAAGAUCAGGAAAGUUCUCCUGACAUGGUUACUGGUACGUUGAGAGUCUUUCUUUUAUAUAUUUAUGCUUUGCUUGACCCUGGAGCUUCUAUUUCUUUUGUAACCCAUUAUAUAGCGGUCAACUUUGGAGUCAGUCCCAAAACCUUAACAGAGUCUUUCUCAGUAUCUACUCUAAUGGGUAAGUUCAUUGUAUCCUAGCAGGUAUAUAGGAACUGCCCAGUUACCGUGUAUUAGAAAGUCACAUCAGUAGACCUUAUAGAACUAGAGAUAAUGAAUUUUGAUGUCAUUCUCGGCAUGGAUUGGCUCUAUUCCUACUAUGCUUUAGUUGAUUAUAGAAACAAAAUCUUCUACUUCCAAUUCCUAAAUAAACCAGUCCUUGAGUGGAGGGGUAGUACCACAAGGCCUAAGGGCCAACUUGUUUUAUACCUUAGAGCAAGAAAAAUGAUAUCCAAGGGAUGUGCCUAUCAUCUUCUGUAAGUCAAAGCCUCUAGCUCCGAGACUCCUAAUCUUGAGUCAGUUCCAGUAGCAAGGGAAUUUCUAGAUGUGUUCCCUAAAUAUCUUCCUGGAGUUCCUCCCGAAAGGGAAAUUAACUUCGGAAUAGACCUUCUUUUGAAUACUCAGCCUUUUUCUAUUCUUCCAUACAGAAUGGCUCUAGUCAAACUUAAAAAGUUGAAAGAACAAUUGAAAGACCCCCUAGAUAAGGGAUUUAUUAGGCCCAGCAUUUCCCCGUGGGGCGCACCUAUCCUUUUCAUGCUUAAGAAAGACAGUUCCCUUAGGAUUUGCAUCGACUACCUCAGUUGAACAAAGUCACAAUAAAGAAUAGAUACCCACUUCCUAGAAUAGAUGACUUGUUUGACCAACUUCAAGGUGCCAAUUACUUUUCUAAGAUAGACCUCAGAUUUUGCUAUCAUCAUCUCAGAGUAAGAUAAUGUGACAUUCUGAAAACAGCUUUCCAAAUCCGGUAUGGUCACUUCGAGUUUCUAGUCAUGUCCUUUGGUCUCAUGAGUGCCACAGCAGCUUUCAUGGACUUAAUGAACUGAGUGUUCAAAUAGUACUUGGACAUGUUUAUCAUAGUUUUGAUUGAUGACAUUCUUAUCUACUUCUGUACCAAAAAUAAUCAUGCAGGCCACCUCAGAAUAUUAUUGCAGACUCUUAGAGCCCAUCAGUUGUUCACCAAAUUUAGUAAGUGCAAAUUUUGGAUAAGAUCAGUAGCUUUCCUUGGUCAUAUUUUUCGGUGAUGGUAUUAGAGUUGUUCUCAAAAGACCAAAGUAGUGAGAAACUGGCCCAGACCCAUUUCUUCAUCAGAUAUCAGGAGUUUCUUAGGUUUGGAUGGCUAUUACCGAUGGUUUGUUGAAGGGUUUUCAUCUAUUAUAUCCCCCAUGUCUAGAUUGACUCAAAAGAAAGUCAAGUUUUAGUGGUCAGAUUUUUGUGAAAAGAGUUUUCAGGAGUUGAAGACUCGACUCACCACAGCCCCAGUUUUGACGUUACCAGACAGUUCAGACAUAUUUGUUGUGUACUGUGAUUCUUUUUGAGUCGGCUUGGGGUGUGUUUUAAUGCUGAAGGGUAAGGUUGUGGCCUAUGCCUCUAGAUAGCUUAAGCCCCAUGAAAAAAAUUACCCUACCCAUGAUCUUGAACUAGCAACUGUUGUGUUUGCCUUAAAUAUUUGGAGGCACUAUUUGUAUAGGGUGUAUGUUGAUGUGUUUACUAAUCAUAAAAUCUUGCAGUAUGUAUUUUGGCAGAAAUAUUUGAACUUACGCCAGAGGAGGUAUUUGGAGUUGUUCAAAAAUUAGGACGUAAGUGUUCUGUAUCAUUCGGUCAAGGCCAAUGUAGUAGCAAAUUCCCUCAGUAGACUGUUUAUGAGUAGUGUUGCUCACGUUGAGAAUGAUAAGAAGGAGUUAGUUUGGAGAGUUCAUCAGUUGGCUAGAUUAGUUAUGCAUUUGGUUGACUCAGCUGAGGGUAAUGUAUGGGUACAUAAUAGUUUGAGAUCUUCUCUGGUUGCCGAAGUGAAAGAAUAGCAGGAUAGGGAUCCUAGUCUGGUUAAGUUGAAGAAGUCAGUCAGAGAAGAAGUAGAGGUUUUCUCCUAAGGGGUAGAUGGUAUGUUCCAUUGCCAGGGUAGAAUAUGUGUGCCGUGUGUAGAUGAUUUGAGAUAGCGAAUUCUUGCAGAAGUGCAUAGUGUGAGUUACUCUAUUCAUCCAGGGGCUAUUAAGAUGUACCAUGAUUUAUGGGAGAUCUAUUGGUGGAGUGGGAUGAAGAGGGACAUUGCAGAGCUUGUAGCUAAGUGUUCCAUUUAUCAAUAGGUUAAAAUUAAAUAUCAAAAGCCCAGUGGGACUAUGCAGGAGUUCUGUAUUCCCACUUGGAAGUAGGAGAAAGUAAACAUGGAUUUUGUGACGGGUUUGCCUUGUACUUGUCGUCAACAUGAUUCAAUCUGGGUUAUUAUAGACCGAAUGACCAAAUCAGCCCAUUCUUGCCAGUGCAUACUUUUUUUAGGCUGAGGACUAUGCCAAGCUCUAUAUUAGAGAGUUGGUACCCAAGUUUACUUCAGUACAACCUUUCACCCUUAGACAGAUGGUCAAGAAGAGAGGACCAUCAGACCCUUGAGGACAUAUUGAGAGCGUGUGUCAUUGACUUUAAGGGCAGUAGGGAUGAUCACUUGCCUUUGAUUGAAUUCACGUAUAAUAAUAGUUAUAAUUUCAGUAUUCAGAUGGAUCUAUUUGAGGCACUAUAUGGAAGAAGAUGUAGAUCUAUGAUUGGUUGGUUUGAGAUAAGUGAAACCAUUUUGAUAGGACAUGAUUUGGUGUUUUAUGCUUUAGAGAAAGAUCAGCUAAUCAGGGAGAGGCUUAAGGCAGCUCAAAGCCGACAGAAAUCUUAUACAGAUGUGAGAAAAAAGGAUCUUGAAUUUAAGAUUGAUGAUUUUGUUUAUUUAAAAAUCUCUCCCAUGAAGAGGGUAAAGAGGUUUGGUAAGAAGAGGAAGCUUAGUCCCCGAUAUGUUGGCCCUUACAGAAUUCUGAGUUAUUUUAGAAAGGUGGCUUAUGAGCUUGAGUUGACUGCAGGCUUAGCAUCUGUGUACCUAGUACUUCAUAUCUCUUUAUUGAAGAAGUGUAUUGGUGACCCAACUGUAUUUGUUCCCUUAUAAAGGUAGAUGUUCAGAAUAGCCUUUGUACAAAGAAAUUACAGUCGAGAUCCUUGAUCGCCAGAUUCGAAUACUAAGGAACAAAGAAGUUCCCCUAGUCAAGUUUCUUUAGCGGAACCAAUCUAUUGAGAAAGCCACUUGGGAAAAAAAAGCAUAUAUGCGAACCAAGUACCCUCAUAUUUUCUCCAUAAACUCAGACUCAGCUGAAGGUAACAAUUUUCCCUAGAAUUUUUCUUUUCCAUACUCAAUUCCAGCUGCAUAUCAUUCUCAUACCAUUUAUGCCUUCAUGAAACUAGUUCUAUCAUGUGUCAUAUUUAAGACUUGGUUAUGUAAUCACAUUAUCAGUAUGUAUAUUCAACAUGAAACCUUAAUUCCUCAGUAUUCUCAAAUUAACCAACCUCAUUUGAGGAUGAAGGUUACCAAGGGAAGAUAUUGUAAUACCCUGAGAAUCCAAACUAAUAUUAGAACUAUGUUUCAAGCUCAUGAGAAAUAAAUUAUAGUGAUUUGGUAGUUUUAUGAGAGAAUUUAAUGUAUAUUAAGGCAUCAAAUAACUCCUAGCUAUUAGACGAAUCAAAAUAUCCCUUAUCAAUUGAGUUCUUGAGAAGGAUGUUGCUAUAGUCAACAUCAAAUGAGCAUAUCUUUCGUUUUACUAAGAAUUUUUGAGCUCUUGACCAACCAACAGAUAGAUAAUUGAAUUAGAUUUUCAACGAUACUAAUUUUUUCCUAAAUCUGAUACCUAGGUAAGAAGUUAUGGCACUUUUAGAGAGAGGAAGUAGCUCACCAUGAUCAUGUUGUGUCGUGGUGAUCCCCAAAAUCACACUCAUCCCUUUUUAGUAGCUCACCACAAUUCAAGUUUCGUUUGGGCCUCAUGUCAUUCUUUCUUUAUAACCUUAUCCAAAAGCCAAGUUACAACCAAAGAAAGACCUAUAGAUCAAUCUUUGAGAAUGUUAAGGCUAGGCAUACAAUGGAUAUGAUGACACAUUUUGGGAACUACUCGUCUUUCUCAGCAUAAGGAAUCAGGAGAGAAAUAAAAAUGAGAGAGUUUUAUUGGUAAAAACCCUCACGGUCACUAUAAGGCGAUGGUAAGUUGAGAGAUAAAAAUGAGAGUCUUAUUGUUGAAAACCCUCAUGGGCACCAUAAGACACUGUAAGUUGAGAGAGAUGAAAAUAGGAGAGUCUCAUUGGUGAAAACCCUCACAGACACCAUAGGGCAAUGGUGAGCUAAGAGAAAGAAAAUGAGAGAGGCUUGUUGGUGAUAAUCCUUCAAGGUGUCACUAGCCAAAUGAGAUCUCUGAAUGGGAAUUGGACGAAGAAAGUAACUCUAUUUCAGCGCCAUUAAAUCAACAACAAUUGGUGAAAGUUGGAUGAAAAGAUCAGACAGCUUAAUCCAAAAUGCAUGUCAUAAUCAUUAGAGUUAACGGUCACUUUCAGAUAAAUUCUUCUUUCAUCUUUUUCAAUGGGCACAUUCAUUGUCUUUUCUUUCUUCUCUAUAGUUUUAUUUUUGUUUUCUUGAGUCAAUUAUCCAAAUAAAGAAAUCAUUGUUAUUUUUCUCGUGUCUUUGAGUCAAGUUCAUGUCAAAACAACUGAGAAAAGAUUUCAAAACUUGCUAUCAACUUAUUCAAUUGCACAAAGAAAGAAAAAAGGAUAUCACAUGGAAAGAUACAUGAUUAUGAGCCGAAAUAAGGCAUGCAGAAAGUUUCGUCAAAAGACAAGCCUAGGAACUCAUGGAAAUACCAAGGUUCAAAGGGUUUAUCUGAGGAGCAUGGCAAAGCAAAGAUACUGUGUUUGUUUCAGAGUAACUUUUAAUAAUCUGAGUUUGGUUCAAUGAUGUAGCAAGUUAAUGACAUAUGCUAAUAGUUAGGAUCAAGAUUAAAUAUGACGAGGGCAAGAGCGAUUACCGCAAAAGCUAAAGCCAUAAACCAGCCACCAUGUUUUAAACUCACAAGUUUUCUUUGAUGAAAUAAGAAAUAUAUUACCUUCAAAUAAAGGACUUUAGAGCAUAAAUAUCAAGGGUUGCAAUACCUUACUUCUAUAAAUGCAGAAAAUAAUCUUGUUGCACCGGUUUGAUCAUCAAAUCAUGGUAAAAAUUCAUCAUCCUAUAUCCUUUAGAGACAAACUUCCUUGUCCAGGUAUUUCACUUUUCAAUUGCUAGGUGAUUCACUUCUUAAAUUUAACUUUCACUCCUAGAAGAUGUACCUUCUAGCCAAGUCAUUCUCCUUGAUUCCUAGAAGAUGUACUUUCUAGUUGAGUCAUUUCCUUUGACUCCUAAAAGAUGUACCUCCUAGUCGAGUCAUUCCCCUUGAUUCCUAGAAGAUAUACUUUCUAGUCGAGUCAUUCCCCUUGACUUCUAGAAUAUGUACCUUCUAGUCGAGUCAUUCCUUAGAUUCCCAGAAGAUGUACUUUCUAGUUGAGUCAUUCCCUUUGACUCUUAGAAGAUGUACCUUCUAGUCAAGUCAUUUCCCUUGAUUCCUAGAAGAUGUACUUUCUAGUCGAGUCAUUUCCCUUGACUCUUAGAAGAUGAACUUCCUAUUCAAAUCAUUUCCCUUGAGUCCUAGAAGAUGUACCUUCUAGUCGAAUUAUUCCUUUGAUUCCUAGAAGAUGUACUUUCUAGUUGAGUCAUUCCCUUUGACUCCUAGAAGAUGUACCUCCUAGUCGAGUUAUUCCCCUUGACUCCUAGAAGAUAUACCUUCUAGUCGAGUCAUUUCCCUUGAUUUGUAAAAGAUGUACUUUCUAGUCGAGUCAUUCCCCUUGACUCUUAUAAGAUGUACUUCCUAGUCGAGUCAUUUCCCUUAAUUUCUAGAAGAUGUACCUUCUGUUUGAGUCAUUCCUUUGAUUCCUAAAAGAUGUACUUUCUAGUUGAUUAAUUCCCUUUGACUCUUAGAAGAUAUACUUCCUAGUUGAGUCAUUCCUCUUGACUCCUAGAAUAUGUACCUUCUAGUCGAGUCAUUCCUUUGAUUCCUAGAAGAUGUACUUUCUAGUUGAGUCAUUCCAUUUGAUUCUUAGAAGAUGUACCUUCUAGUCGAGUCAUUCCUUUGAUUCCUAGAAGAUGUACUUUCUAGUUGAUUCAUUCCCUUUGACUCCUAGAAGAUGUACCUCCUAGUCGAGUCACUCCCCUUAAUUCCUAGAAGAUUUACUUCCUAUUAGAGUCAUUCUCCUUGACUCCUAGAAAAUGUACUUUCUAGCCGAGUCAUUCCAAUUAACCCAUAGAAUAUGUUCCUUGUUUGGGUUUUUAAAAGUAGCUAUGAUGUGACUUUAACAAAAGUCCUCCGAUUAUAAACUGGGGCAAAAUUUAAUUCCUGUGUUUGGAAUUUCACUUUUCUGAAAAAAAAAAGAAAUCUUUCUUUAUCAUAAUCUUUGUUUGAGCUAACACUUGUUCUAGUUCUAAAAUUGAAAGUCUGGAGCCCGCCUGAAGAACAGGGUGAUAAAAAUGAAGGUCGGGAGCUCGCCUGAAGAACAGGGUGAUGAAACUGCAAGUCAGGAGCCCGCCUAAAGAACAUGGUAAAGAAAUUGAAAGUCAACCAACAAGGCGAUGAAAUUGAAAAUCAAAAGAUUAAAAUUAGCAAGUCAGGACCCGCCUGGAGAACAGGGUGAUUAAAUUGAAAGUCAAGCAACAAGGUGAAGAAAUUGUAAGUCAGAAGCCCACCUGAAGAAUAGGGUAAAGAUUUUCAAAUUCAGGAUCAAGGUUCAGAAGUACCACCUACAGAACAUGGUCAAUUUGUGAGAUCAUCUCCAAUAUCAAAUUUUGUAUGGAGAAAGAAUUCAUUCUCAAGUUCAGCCCAAAGAAGAUCAGACUUUUUGUGAAUUUUGAAAGCAUCUGAAACUCAAGUCAAGAGUCCAGAGAAGGUGCAGAGAUAGGAUUUUGUAAUUUCAGUUAUCUUUUUAACUUGUAAUUUUUAUUUUUGAUGUAAUGAUAGAGUCACGAACCAGAAUCUUGAUGGGACCUCACUCGACUCUCCAACUCGGUUGUCCUUCUUCCUUUUAUUUCUUUCUUUGAAUAAUGGUCGGGGCAAAAUUCUAUAUCAUUGUCUACUUUUUGUUUGAAAACACUUUGUGUUUAUAGCCAAAGAAGGGGCAUGAUGUAGACAAAUUCUAAUUUAUCCAUUUUUGGAUUCACCUUAUCAUACACCCACGCCCAUUUAAUAAUUUCCCCCCACAAGAAUCUAAAUAAAAAACUCUCAACAAAUUCACCACCCACCCUAACUAAUUUGGCCAUCUCACACCCUUACCCAUACCCCCUUCUACCCCUACCCACCCCACUCAUAAUUCAUAUAUAUAUACACAUCACUGUAUAUAUAGAUAGGGGAGGACCUUUGCAUUUUUCCAAUUCAAUUCACAAAACACCCACACACACCUCACAUAUAGAUACACAACUCACCUUUUCUUUCUCAUCCUCACCAGAACACUCCACUCAUGAAUACACACAAUUAGCACACACACACCUUCCAUUCAAUUCUCACACAUUCACUCACGUACAAUCACUCACAAAAUUCAUGCACACACUCAAUUCUCUACACUGACCUUAACACACUCACAUAUAGACACAUAGUGAUAAAUACUCAGACACCUAUCAUGGAUGAAGGAUAGAAAAAAAAGGGAAUGAUAAUAAGGAGAGAAUAGAGAGAAGAAGAGUGAGAGAAAAGUAAUAAGAUAUAAGAGGGAGAGACGACGAGUGGGGGAGGUGAAAGAUAGACGAAAGUUGAUGAUUUUCGAUGUUCUCACCUGAAACCUGCCCAAAAAAACACCCAUUAGCUCAAACUCGCCAGAAUCUCCAUCAGGAAACACCGUCGGCCACUGUUAUGGUGAAACCCAUCAGAGAAAACCCCCUCUGAUCAUCUAAUUCUCAUUUUCGGGUAAGGCCAUUGGAAAACUACUAAAGUUGACGUCCAAAUCAGCAAAACUCAACCCGUUUCUCUCAAUUUUGUUGAAACUCGUUGAAAAUCGACCAAGUUAGAAACGGGUCAGUCGGGUAGAUUCAAAUUAGUGCAGAUUUUGGUGUUAUUGUGAGUUAGAUUUGGAGUUUCAUUAUCGAGGUUUAAUUCGAGGUUCCCGGCACGGACUCUAUCUCAUUUAAUUGAGUAAUACCCGAAUAAAAGCAGCAUUAAAGUCAUUCUUCAUCUCAUUCUCAAUUAAUCUUAAUUGUUUGACACUUUGUGUGAUAAAUUUAUUGGUGUGUGAAUUUUGUUUUCAUUGAUUUCGUUAUGUUUUAUAUCAUCACGGUUGAUUGUUAUAUUGAUUGAUGGUGUGAAUUGGAUAAUCAAAGAAGUUGGUCUCAAUUUGGAGGAUAAAUCAUAAUUGUGGGGAUGAUGUUGAAAGUUGGUUACUUUGGAAUUUUAUUUGGAAUAUCUAAUUUGUUAGUUGAAUAAUUUUGAUGUCGUUGAACAUGAUAGUAUCAUGAUAGAUCGAGUUGGGCAGGCAAAUGGUAGGCUCGGAUAGGCAAAUUUAGAACUCAUGGAUUGUGGAAUGUUUAGAAUAUUUGUUGAAUGGUUUUGUUUACCGCAUUUGGAUCAAUUGUACUCAUUUAGCCAGGGAAUGCCUCGAAGCUAUUUGUACUUAUUCACCGGGGUAUGCCCCGAAGUAUCAUGUACGUAAAGGAGGUUCAUGAUCAAGGCCCGAGGCAUCGGGUAAAGUAUAGUAUAGGAUAGUAUAGAUUUUUUUUCAGCAUUUCUUAUUCUUGAUUUGUAAUAAGUUGGACUGAUACUAUAUUUUUGGACUUGUUUUGUUUUGUUUGUUUAUUUGAUUGUUUUGUGUGUUUUAUGUGAUUUUACACAUUCAUAGUGUCAUACUAGUCGAUAUACUCUAUGGAGCGACCGUGGUUGAACCACGAGAUCGAGGGGUGCCUAACACCUUCCUCUUGAUCAACAGAAUUCCUUAGCUGGAAUCUCUGUUCGUGGAUCAGUUUUAAAGAGUCAAAUCAUUUUGAAAAAGGACUUCUAACGGUGAAUUGGCACACUAGAUUUAUGCCAAGUCGUGACUCUGAGUUCAAAAUGAAAAGAAUCCUUUUCAAAAUAAAUUUUAUCAUUUGUUACUUAAUAAUAAAAACCCUUUUCGAACUUUAAAAUCAAUUCUUUUGGUAAAAAAAAAAAGGGUGUGACAGUCAUUAUUGAAUUAAAAUUUUAAAUUUUGAGUUGUUAAAAUCCUUAUCAUAACUCGAUUCAUUUUAGGUCUAAUUCAAUCCUUUUUUAUUAUUUGGAUUCGAUUUUGUGAAUCAAUUUGUUCGAAUUUGAAAUUUCAACAAACAACUAUUUUCAUUUCAUUUUAGAGCAAACAUGAUAAAAAGAAACAACAAAAUCUUAAAAUUAGCCCAUAAGUAACCUAAAGUUACGUUGCACUGCAAGUUUAAAGUGGAAUUAAAAUGUAAUAAUGAGCCACAAUUUAAGAGAUUGGAUAUAGGUCUGUACUCUUGAAGUUGUAACUGGUAAAAUGUAAAUGAUAAAAAAGGCGUAUAGGUUUUAUAAUUAAAAGACACUAAAUAUGGAUCUGGGCUAUUGUGACUGCAUUAAGUUUUAGGUUUGUGAGUAAUUAAUAAAUUUUAUUUUUGAAUCGAUUUGAAUUGUAAACACCCAAAUCAAAUUUAGUUCGAAAAAUCUAAAUAUUCUAAAAUUAAAUCCAUAAAUCAGUUCAAACUGUACAAUUCAAAUCAAAUUAUUCAAAUUUCUGUCAAUCAAUCUGGAUACUCGAAUUAAUUCAAUUUGUGCACGAUCCUAAUUAUUUCGUACUACAUAUACAAGAUUUGAAAACUAAUGUAUUGGUACUUGUGAACCCAUAUAAUAUAGCUCAUACUCUAGAUCCUCCCUUGCUCAGCACUUUCAUCUCCUCUAAAUUACACCCACCCAACUUUUCUUUUCACUACUCUUUAAAUUUAAUAUAGUAACAAUUAUAAAUAAAAUAAAAUAAAAUAAACAUGUAAUAUAUUAAUUUUUAAUUUACUGGCUGACUACUUAAACUUUCAUUUUUUUUAUAAAGAUUUAAUUCUCCAUGUUUUUCCUUAUCCCCAUAUAUAAUUAAAAAAAAUGGUAGUGUAACUAUUGCUAACAAAUUAAGCUAGCUGAUAUACUUAAAAAAAGGAAAAGAGUAAGCUAAAGAUCACUUACUUACGAGGGGAUCUUAGUAGGUCAAUUGGUUACUUGAACUUUCAUCUUUUUCUAUAUUCUUAACAUAAUUAAAAUAUAAAUAAAAUAAUUGUAUGUUGUAAUUAUUUCUAACCCAUUAAACUAGCUGAUCUAUUAAAAAAGAAGGAAGANNNNNNNNNNNNNNNNNNNNNNNGGAUCUUAGUAGGUCAAUUAACCGGUUAUCUCAACUUUUGCUGUUAGUGCUAAUUCUUUUAUAAUAAUAAUAAUAAUAAUAAUAAUAGUAAUAAAGAAGAAGAAAAUGAUCACUUACCGGAUAGCCAUUGGUGCUAAUACUUUUCUGCUAAAACUGGAGAAUUUGGUGGAGCUUUAUAGGGUAUGAGUGGUGUGUGAGCACAGUUGUGACGAAGUUAAGCCAAAAAUUGGAGGGAAUUUUUUAGAGGGAGUGCUGAUUCACGUGAACCAAAAGAAAUCGAUCAGUGCCAACUGGCAACUGAUAAAGAAAAUCAACAUAAUUUAUGACAAAAAAUUAUUUAACAGCAAAUAAUGUUGAGACUUGAGAGUGUAUAUUUUGGAUUAUGAAUUAAACCUAAUCCUUUAAGUGGGCGUAGAGAUAACGGAUAGCCCAUUCUCUUCUAACAUGUAUUUGCUAUAUUAUACUAAUACAUUGUUUGGAUGAUGGUUAUCUAUGGUAUGGUAUGAUUAUUAAGAGAAUCAUAUUUGUUUUGAUUAAUUUUUAAAAUAUAUGAUAUAGUAUGAUUUAAUUUCAUGAUUUGAUAAUUAUGAAAAUUUUCAUUUUAUGUGACUAUCGAUUUGGUGGUAUCUCAUGAUUUGCUUUUUUUUUUUUUUUCAAUUAUGCUCUUGUUUAAUUUUUGUAUAUUUCUUUGUGCUUUAUUCUAAAUUAUUUAACUCCCUGUCCCUACCCCUACCUCACCCCUUACCAAAUCCCUAACCUAAUUUUAUUUUAAAUUUAUUUUUAAAAAAUAUUUCAAAAUUUUUUCUUACCCCACUUCAUCCACCCCUACCCCUCCCCAUCACUUACUAGCUCCCUUCCCCGCAUCAAUUUUUUUAUUUUUUAAAUUUAUUUUUCAAUAGUUUGAAAAAGAAUUUCUUACCUCGCCACCACCUUCUACCAGCCCCUCCCCCCACCCCAACCCUCUCCCAAAAAACAAAUACUUUUAAAUUUAUUUUUUAAUUUUUUUUAAAAUUUUCUUUCUUAUCCCAACCCCUACCCCUACCCUUGACCCCCCAUUCCACUACCCUAACCCCUUUUUGUUUUUUUAAAUUAUAGUUCUUUUUAUCCCACCCGUUUAUCAUAUUCGUUCUCAUUGUUUUGUAUUAAAUAUACACAAAUAUUUUUAGAAAAUAUUUUUCUAUUUGAGUAAUGAACACAAUGCAAGAAAAUAAGUAAAAAAUAAUUUUUCUAGAAUUCUUUUUUGUAUUCCAUAACGAACACACCCGUAGCAUACACAUAAGAAAUAAUUUUUCUAGAAUUUUUUUUUGUAUUCCAUAAUGAACACACCCGUAGCAUACACAAAAGAUGCAUUCAAACUUCAUACUUGUCGUUGGUGGUCACAUUUCAAAACACCAAAAGAAAAGAAAAUUUGUCACUAUAAAAAAUGAAUCUUAGUACAUUUAUUUUGAUCUACUCUUACAUUGAUUUUGUUAAAGUUUUACAUGAAUUUAACAACUUAAUAUAUUUACAUGACAUAGUUUGUGAUAAAUUAGCAGUUAGAAAAUUAUUUUAUUAACACUUAUUGAUAAAUUUAACACUUAUAAUAAUUAAGGGAAUUUAGUAAACUUACCUGUGACGAUAUAGUACCAUACCAUCAAAUCAAAUAGCAGUGAACGAUACAGUCCAUCCAAACAUUGUAUUGUACUAUAUUGUACAGUACAAUACCAUACCAUAUAGUAUCGUACAUUAUGAAACCAUGACAAACUACCAUAUAAACAAAGUGUUAAAAGGUGCUAUGACACUCACUUAGAAGCUCAAAGAACUUAGCCAAUUCCUUUUUUUAAAUUAACCAGGACUUCCUUUUUUCGUGAGCUAAUUUCCCUUAGCUGAGACAGGGAGUUGAGAAAAGGUAACUAAAAAUGCCGAUUAACCUUCAAUUGAGCUAUACUUGGCUAGUGAGUUCUAGGUGGUAUUUACUUCUCUGAAGAAGUAAUGUACUUUGACAUUGAGGAUCACUACUUUUUUCUUGAAUUUGAGCAAUCCAAUGGAGUUCACUCUUUUCCAGGCAUGUGAAAGUCAAAAAUACUACCAAAAAUCUUUUUUUAUAAAUUUUUUGACGUACUUUUGUUAAAUUUAUAUUACCUCGAAAAACCCUAAACCCUACAAUUGUCAUCGUUCGGCCAUCAUGGCCUCCACCUCUUCUGGUGGGAUUUAGCCACCAAAAGAAAAGUCUCCCAUUAAUGUCCAUGUUGUAGACACCUAAUUCUGUCCCUCCCGAAGACCCAAGUUACACAUUUUUAUCCCUGUUUUACCACGUGCCUUCACCUGUAUGAUUAUAUCCCAUAAAAAUACAAAAAUAACAAACCCACUAACAAACCUAAUCCCCAAAUAUUCUUUUGUAACAAAAUUAACCACCCCUCCUAUCAAUUUUGGAUAACACAUCACUACCUCAUGCCCCAUACCCUACCCCACCUACCCUACCCCAAUACCCACUUCACAAUAUAUACACACAUACUCUCACAAAUAAGAAAGGGGAUGAAUAGUAACAAAGAAAAAAAAUUAGCUCUUUCUCUCUCUAGACUCUACUCUCUCUCUCUCCAAAAUCCAAAAGGGAAAGCUCCGUUCGCCUCCCUCUCUCACCGUCACCGGCGAGACCCCCUUCUUCUUCUCCCUCUACGACGCCACACCGUUCCUUCGUCACCGCCUAGAUCUACCGCCGCCGUCACCAAAAAAACCCACAUCGGUGCCGGAGAAGAAAGAAAAACCAGCUGCUGCUCCGCCGCCAGCAGUUGCUGCUCCGGCUGCAGCGCAUCGACGACUGGCUCCAGCCGCAGCUUACCCAUCCGACGAAACAGCUUCAACUCCGGUCACCACCAGAGGAACACGCACUGCCGCCGUUCUCGCCGUCACCGGAGCUUGAUCUGUGUUGGGUUUUGGGUUCCAUUUGUUUGUUGGGGGUUUUGGUUUCGUCUGUUUCAUGGUUCGUCGUUGAUAUUGGAUUUCGAGUUAUCGUUAUCAAAUCGCGUCGUCGUUAUUUUUUGGGUUUCGUAUAACAAAGUUUGUCUCACUGGUUUUGAAGUUGUCCUAUUAGUUUUUUCCUAUACUGAGUUGGAUUCAUCGCGAUCGAGGUUCUCCGGUCGAGUAUUUUGGUCUUUGGAUUUCUUUAUUAUUGUCAAGGAUCAAUUUCAUCAAGGUCCAUUUCUUCUAACCGAAUCUUUAAUUUAUUUUAAAAAAAUUUUGUGAUGUUGUGGGUGUAGAUGAUUUAUUUGUUGCGUGUUUGGUAUGUUCGAAUAUGUGUUAUGUGUUGGUUGAUGUUGGUUUCAGACUUUGAAAAGUGAAUUGAUAAAUCGAAGCAUGUGUUAAUCAUGUUGGCUGAAAUAAAUUUGGGGACGGAAAUCGAAAAUUGAUAAAAGUAAAUAUUAUGAUAUUUUUGAUACAUUGUUGAUGUUGAAUGCGGAAUGUUGUCGAGCAGGUAGGCAAACAGUAAGCUUGGGUAGGCAAGUUUAGGAUUGGUGUAAUGUGGGAAUGAUUGAAAUAUUUGUUGAAUGUUUUGUUUAUCGUAUUUGGAAAGUGUAUUUAUUUAACCGGGAAAUGCCCCAAAGAAUUUUGUACGCUAAGGAUGCUCGUGAUGAAGGCCCGCGGCAUCGGGUAAGGCAUGGAAGCUUAGUCUAGAUUUAGUUUAGAUUAGGAUUUAUAUUUUCGUAGUUUUCUAUUUUUGGACUGUAUAAUGGGACUGGACUUUACAUUUUUAUUGUUUCGUUUUGUUUAUUGUUUGAUUAUUUUGCGUGCUUUUUGUGUGUUUUAUACAUUUCAUAAUGCCAAAAUAGUUGAUACACUCUACCAAGCGACCAUGGUCGAACCACGGGAUCGAGGGGUGCCUAAUACCUUCCCCUCGGUCAACAGAAUUCCUUAGCCGCAAUCUCUGUUCCCAAACCAGUUUAAGAGUCAAAUGGUUUCGAAAAGGAUUUUCCAAAGGUGACUUGGCACAUCGGAUUAUGCCAAGUGGCGACUCUGAAUAAAAAAUGCAAAUAAUCCUUUUCCGAAAUAAAUUUUCAUUUCUUGUCACUUAAAUAAUAAAGCCCUUUCAAACUUUAAAAUAUACAUUUUUUGGAGUACGUAAAAAAGGGGUGUGACAGCUUCUGGCGACUCUGCUGGGGAUACUCAUAAGUUCUCAGAAUUUGAGCUAUUUUUGGAGUCGUAUCGGCUUUGUUUGGCAUUACGAGUGUAUAAGCAUUGUUUGUGGUUAUUGUUUGCGUUAUUUUCACUUCUGUGCUUUUUCGUGCUCUUUGUUUAUAGUAUUUAUCCUAUGUGUUACCGCUUUAUAUCUGACAUCAUGAGUCCACCGCUCGGCCUUCUUUCUACAACAAGUCCGUAGUACACGUGUUGUACACAACCUCUAGUUGAGUCACCCUUAUUUUAGGGGGGGAGCCGUCGGUGUUAUGGAGUAAGUGAAAAGCAAAGCAACCAUUAUCGACCAUACGCUCCCCCGAACAGCCUUGUUAGUGAACGACAAUGUAGGUCAGCCUUUAGGUCAUGCUUAUGUGCAUCAUACGGAGACCUAGCAGGACCCACAUGGCCCUUUGUAGGAGACUCCCCUCUAAAGAAUUCCUACGUGCUAACUGUUGCAUUUUUAAGGGUAACGUGGUCAUUUGACGGACUGAUAUUUGUCAAAAAAAAAAUUGUUAGGAGUAAGGUGCGUAGGCAAAAAACGAAAAAGAAAAAUAGAAAAAGUGAGUCGAAAGAAUAAAAAAAAAAAGAAGAGGAAUUUCGUAGUUUAUUUUAGAAUUCUUUAUGGCUUUUGUUCUUCACAAUCCAAAAACUCAAAAAGAUUUUUUUAUGUUUUGCAUUUGUCUUCUCAAAAUACCGUAAAAGCAAAAAAAAAAAAAAAGUUUUGUUUGCCUUUUCUACUUAUUUGUCAAAAAAAAAUAAAAAAUACCAAAAAGAUUUUUUUCCCUUCAUAAUUGGUAGUGUCAGUCUUAGCUGAAAAUCCAAAAGUUUUUUUUUCGUUUGUUUUUGGUAGCUUCUCUUAAGUUAGGGUCAAUUUAUUAGUUAAUCGUUAAUUGUCCAAUGUGGACGAACUACGCACCCCUGAUUCUCCUCUUUCGAAAGUGAGAUACGUAGGCAGCCUAUUGUUGGUUCGGGGAUCUUAUUUGAAAAAAUCCAAAAAUAUUUCUUCACUCUCCAUUUAGAGUAGGCAUUUCAUAUACGUCUUUAAAAGAAAACUACAAAAAGAUUUUUCUUUAAUAGGUUCAAGUUUCCUUUUCAUAUGAAAUUCAAAAUUGAAAACCCCAAAAGAUUUUUGUUUGGUAAUCAUAGGUUUCGUUUUGUAUAGGUAAUUUAAAAGUAAAAAAAUGCAAAAGAUGUUCGUCAAUUCUUUUGACAAAUUGUUAUUUUCCUUUUCUUCUUAAAGUUUCAAGAAAAAAAAAGUUUAAUUGGCCAUUUUGGCAAGGCCCGAACUAUGCAAGAUCUGAUUUAUGUACAACAUGAUACGUAGGCAACCUACUUUUGGGUUCUAUCUAAUCAUUUUGUUUUGUUGUUUUUCAUUAUUUUUCCUCUUUUAAAGAAAAACAAAAGCCAUAAAGAAUGAUAAAAUAAGGGUAUAUAACGAGAGAAAAGAAGAGAACAGAGAUGGAUACGAAAAAAUAAUAAUAAUAAGGAACGUAGAAAAAAGUGUAGACAAAAAUCAGGAUGAUGUUAAAAUGACCUCGCUACCCUCAAAAGCUGGUAGAAAUGAACAUGAAUUUAGGACAAUUUUACCAAUGUGAUUUCCNNNNNNNNNNNNNNNNNNNNNNNNNNNNNNNNNNNNNNNNNNNNNNNNNNNNNNNNNNNNNNNNNNNNNNNNNNNNNNNNNNNNNACCCAUACUUCACUAGAUCCAAAGCAAAGCUCGUCAUGGCUAGCAGGGAGAUUGAAAAUUCGCUUAUUGACCCGGAUCAGGAUCACAGGGAAGAAAGUUCUAAACACAAUGAUGAGGUAGUAAGGCUCAGGCAAUAAUUGAUAGAUUUACACCGGGCAUGGGCCAGCGGAAUGCCUCCUCCUCUGCUCCGUGAAGGUCUUGGGAUUAUCUCUAAUUGUCCACUGCUCUCUCAGGCGCAAUUCUCUGCUCCUACUGAGUCACCUGAGCACGCGCCAGGAUUCACUCCGCGACAUUAUUAUCCUGGAAGUUCUGGUGUGCCCUUGGCAGCUCCCCAAUCAAGACUAGCUGCUCAGCCAGCGCCACUGCUCACACCGAUAUUCGUGGCUCCGCCACCACAUGAAACUCCCAUAUAUGCUGUGCGUCCCACAAUAAGGCUUCCUAGGUCUGCCAGUGAGCCAAUACUGAAGGUUUCAGAUAGUCAGUAUUACGCCCCGGAGCCUACUUUGCAAAUGAAUGAACUGUAUGGGUACACUCAGCCGCCUGCAUUUCCAUUUGAUACGGAGAAACCUGUCGUAGCAGAGGAACAGGAUAUCAUAGCCCAGAAAUUGAAAAGUUUAGAACAGGCUAUGAGGAAUUUACAAGGGAUCGAAGAUUAUAGGAGUGUUUCCUAUAAAGAUCUUUGCAUGUUCCCAGACAUCAACCUUUCCCUCGGUUUUAAGAUGCCUAAGUUUGAGAAAUAUGUAGGACACGGUGAUCCCGUUGCACACUUGAGAUGUUUUUGCAACCAGUUGAGGGCUGCAGGAGGAAAGGAAGAACUGCUCAUGGCUUUCUUUGGCGAGAGUCUUUCUGGUCUGGCCUCAGAAUGGUUUAUCGAUCGAGAUAUCGAUAAAUGGAACAGCUGGGAUGACUUGGCUUCUGAAUUUGUUCAGCAUUUUUAGUAUAACAUCGACCUGAUCCCGAACAAAAAAUCCUUGGUCAACAUGAAGAAAAAGAGCACUGAAGGUUUUACAGAAUAUGCGAUACGGUGGCGUGAACAGGCCGCCAGGGUAAAGCCUCCAAUGAAACAAAGUAAGUUGGUAGAAGUUUUCAUUCAGGCGUAGGAUGAGACCUAUUUUCAAUAUUUACUUCCGACAAUGGGAAAGUCUUUUAUGGAAGUCCUCAAAAUGGGGGAGAUAAUAGAGGCGGAAUUAAAACCGGCCAAAUAGUGAGUUUUGCCGCAUUAAAAGCCACCAUACAAGUAAUUCAAGGUGGAUCUGGCGUAUUUAGAGGUAAAAAGAAGAAAAAGGAUGUGGCGACUAUCGUAGCUGAAAUCCAUUUCUAUCCCAAAAGACCACCUCGCCCCUAUCCUCAAUCUCAAGCCCAAACCCCUUCUUACCCGCAAUGGCGCGCGCAAGCUCCACAAAAUCACCCAUUCGCUCCACCAAAUUACUGAAACCCCUCCAGACCCAGCUUUCAGCCUAGGCUCGAGUAUAAGAAAGAAAAAGCAGUCAAAAAUCAAUUCACACCUCUUGGGGAGUCAUAUGCUAGCUUGUUUGAUAGGUUGAGAAAGUUGAAGGUUUUAAGCCCAAUUCAAGGAAGGCUUUUAAAUCCACCGCCGAGGAAUCUCGAUUAUUCUUUAAGGUGUGCGUACUAUUCUGCUAUGCCAGGCCAUGAUAUCGAGAAAUGCUGACAUUUAAAGAGAGGUAUCCAAGAUUUAAUUGACACAAAUCAGAUGUUGGUCCAGGCCCCGGAGGGUCCAAACAUUAACCAGAAUCCACUGCCAACCCAUGUUGAAGCCAAUAUGUUAGAAUUGAUAUAUGAUGGGAAAGAUUCUUCGAGGGGUUAUAAGCCUAUUGUCAAGAUACAGACCAUUGAGGAAAAAUUGGUGAAUGUAGCGGAAUCUUUGAAAGAAAUGUCAUUGAACCAAGAAAGAAUGAAAGAAGUUAAAGCCCAAUAAAGCACAAAGAAACCCCUGAUCAUAGUACAAGGCGCCAGAAGGUAUGUUGAUUUAAGUCAGGAUAAACCUAAGUUGACAGUGGUGAGAGCUCUGAGUCAGCCCAUCUUGGUGGUGAAAGGAGCACUGGCAGCGCCUAUUGUCCUCAAACCGGUGACCCAACCUCCGAUAGUUAAUACGAAAAAGAUUCCCUGGAAUUAUAAGCGGACUGUGAUGACCUAUCACGGGAAAGAAGUUGUGGAAGAUGUAGAUGAGGUAGGGGGUUUGACUAGGUCAGGAAGAUGUUUCGUGCCUGAACGAUUAAGAAAGUCCAAGCCAAUGGUGAGUGGACCGUCGUCUAUCAAAAAUCCUAUCACUGAAGAGGAAGCCAAAGAAUUUUUGAAAAAGAUGAAGUUGCCAGAGUAUUCAAUAUUAGACCAGUUGAAGAAAACCCCUGCUCAAAUUUCUCUUUUAUCUUUGUUGUUGCACUCCAAGGAGCAUCAUGAUAUUUUACUGAAGGUAUUAAAUGAAGCAUAUGUUCNNNNNNNNNNNNNNNNNNNNNNNNNNNNNNNNNNNNNNNNNNNNNNNNNNNNNNNNNNNNNNNNNNNNNNNNNNNNNNNNNNNNNNNNNNNNNNNNNNNNNNNNNNNNNNNNNNNNNNNNNNNNNNNNNNNNNNNNNNNNNNNNNNNNNNNNNNNNNNNNNNNNNNNNNNNNNNNNNNNNNNNNNNNNNNNNNNNNNNNNNNNNNNNNNNNNNNNNNNNNNNNNNNNNNNNNNNNNNNNNNNNNNNNNNNNNNNNNNNNNNNNNNNNNNNNNNNNNNNNNNNNNNNNNNNNNNNNNNNNNNNNNNNNNNNNNNNNNNNNNNNNNNNNNNNNNNNNNNNNNNNNNNNNNNNNNNNNNNNNNNNNNNNNNNNNNNNNNNNNNNNNNNNNNNNNNNNNNNNNNNNNNNNNNNNNNNNNNNNNNNNNNNNNNNNNNNNNNNNNNNNNNNNNNNNNNNNNNNNNNNNNNNNNNNNNNNNNNNNNNNNNNNNNNNNNNNNNNNNNNNNNNNNNNNNNNNNNNNNNNNNNNNNNNNNNNNNNNNNNNNNNNNNNNNNNNNNNNNNNNNNNNNNNNNNNNNNNNNNNNNNNNNNNNNNNNNNNNNNNNNNNNNNNNNNNNNNNNNNNNNNNNNNNNNNNNNNNNNNNNNNNNNNNNNNNNNNNNNNNNNNNNNNNNNNNNNNNNNNNNNNNNNNNNNNNNNNNNNNNNNNNNNNNNNNNNNNNNNNNNNNNNNNNNNNNNNNNNNNNNNNNNNNNNNNNNNNNNNNNNNNNNNNNNNNNNNNNNNNNNNNNNNNNNNNNNNNNNNNNNNNNNNNNNNNNNNNNNNNNNNNNNNNNNNNNNNNNNNNNNNNNNNNNNNNNNNNNNNNNNNNNNNNNNNNNNNNNNNNNNNNNNNNNNNNNNNNNNNNNNNNNNNNNNNNNNNNNNNNNNNNNNNNNNNNNNNNNNNNNNNNNNNNNNNNNNNNNNNNNNNNNNNNNNNNNNNNNNNNNNNNNNNNNNNNNNNNNNNNNNNNNNNNNNNNNNNNNNNNNNNNNNNNNNNNNNNNNNNNNNNNNNNNNNNNNNNNNNNNNNNNNNNNNNNNNNNNNNNNNNNNNNNNNNNNNNNNNNNNNNNNNNNNNNNNNNNNNNNNNNNNNNNNNNNNNNNNNNNNNNNNNNNNNNNNNNNNNNNNNNNNNNNNNNNNNNNNNNNNNNNNNNNNNNNNNNNNNNNNNNNNNNNNNNNNNNNNNNNNNNNNNNNNNNNNNNNNNNNNNNNNNNNNNNNNNNNNNNNNNNNNNNNNNNNNNNNNNNNNNNNNNNNNNNNNNNNNNNNNNNNNNNNNNNNNNNNNNNNNNNNNNNNNNNNNNNNNNNNNNNNNNNNNNNNNNNNNNNNNNNNNNNNNNNNNNNNNNNNNNNNNNNNNNNNNNNNNNNNNNNNNNNNNNNNNNNNNNNNNNNNNNNNNNNNNNNNNNNNNNNNNNNNNNNNNNNNNNNNNNNNNNNNNNNNNNNNCAUGGUCUUAUGAUGAUAUGCCUGGUUUAAGCACUGAAUUAGUGGCUCACAAAUUGCCAACUGAUCCCUCGUUCCUUCCUGUCAAAUAGAAGUUGAGGAAGUUUAAAAUGGAUGUAAGUAUUAAAAUUAAAGAGGAAAUCAUAAAACAACUUGAAGCCAAAGUAAUUUGAGUAGCUCGCUAUCCCAUGUGGUUAUCCAAUGUUGUUCCCGUAACAAAGAAAGAUGACAAAAUUUGAGUGUGUGUUGAUUACUGUGAUUUGAACAGAGCAAGUCUGAAAGAUGAUUUUCCACUGCCCAACAUCCACAUUUUGUUAGACAACUGCUCUAAACACGAGGUUGCCUCUUUUAUGGAUUGCUAUGCCAGAUAUCACCAGAUCAUUAUGGAUGAUGAAGAUGCAGAGAAGACUUCUUUUAUCACACCAUGGGGAACUUAUUAUUAUCGACUGAUGUCGUUCGGUUUAAGAAUACUGGAGCAACGUACAUGAGAGCCAUGACCACUAUGUUUCAUGAUAUGAUGCAUAAGGAGAUUGAGGUCUACGUGGAUGAUGUGAUUAUUAAGUCAAAAAGUCAGGCCGACCAUGUUAAAGAUUUAAGAAAGUUCUUUGAAAGGCUUCGCAGGUAUAAUCUCAAACUCAACCCGGCAAAAUAUGUAUUUGGAGUUCCAUCUGGAAAGCUGUUGGAGUUUGUAGUCAGCAUCAGGGAAUUGAAUUGGAUCCCUCAAAAAUCAAAGUCAUUAGGAUUUGCCCCCGCCUAAGAAUAGAACAGAGGUGAUGAGUUUGCUUGGUAGAUUGAACUACAUUAGCAGGUUUAUUGCUCAACUCACGACCACUUAUGAGCCCAUAUUCAAGUUGCUGAAAAAGAGUGUUGCGGUAAAAUGGACUGAAGAAUGUCAGGAAACGUUCGAUCGAAACAAAAGAUAUUUGUCAAAUCCGCCCUUGCUGGUACCCCCGGAGCCUGGUAGGCCUUUGAUCUUAUAUUUAUCAGUCAUGGACAAUUCUUUCAGUUGUGUCCUGGGUCAACAUGAUGUCACAGGCAAAAAGGAGCAGGCUAUUUAUUAUCUUAGUAAGAAGUUCACCGCAUAUGAGGCUAGGUAUACUAUUCUUGAAAGGACAUGUUGUGCCCUAACUUGGGUAGCACAGAAGCCUAUGCCGACAGGUCGAUAGGCAAAGUGGCAAAUAUUGCUUACCGAGUUCGACAUUGUAUAUGUGACUCGAGCCGCCAUGAAAGCCCAAGACUUGGCAGAUCAUCUUGCUGAGAAUCCCAUCGAUGAAGAGUACGAGCCAUUAAAGACAUAUUUUCCUAACGAAGAAGUGUCGUGUAUUGAUGAAGUCGUUAUAGAUGCUGAUCCUGGUUGGAGGUUAUUUUUUGAUGGAUUUGUCAACAUGAAAGGAGUCAGAAUAGGUGCAGUUUUUAUCUCUGAAUCGGGAAAAUAUUUCCCGGUGACAGCACAACUUCGAUUCUACUGUACUAAUAAUAUGGCAGAGUAUGAAGCCUGCAUUCUUGGUUUGAGGUUAGAGGUUGAUAUAGGAGUCCAAUAAUUAUUGGUGUUGGGAGAUUCGAAUUUGCUCGUCCAUCAAAUUCAAGGCGAUUGGGAAAUGUGAGAUUUGAAGCUCAUCUCGUAUCGACAAUGCUAGCAGGAGCUAUGUCAACGGUUUGUGUUAGUAAAAUUUAGGCAUAUUCCAAAAAUUUGCAAUGAAAUUGCUGAUGCUUUAGCCACUCUGUCUUCAAUGCUCCAACAUCCUGACAUAGCCUACAUCGAUUCAGUGCAUAUACAGAGUCGUGAUCAGCAUGCUUACUGUAAUGCGGUUGAAGAAGAGCUCGAUAGAGAACCCUGGUUCUUGGAUAUCAAGCGGUAAAUUCAGUCAGGAAAAUACCCAUCAUAUGCCACCAACGAUCAAAAGAGGACUAUUAGGCGUUUGGCUAGUGGAUUUUUCUUAAGUGGGGGAAUCUUAUAGAAAAGAACCCCAGAUCUGGGACUUUUAAGGUGUGUAGAUGCAAAAGAAGCCUUGACAAUCAUGGUUGAAAUACACUCUGGAGUAUGCAGGUCACACAUGAACGGUCAUGUUUUGUCAAAGAAGAUUCUUCGAGCAAGUUAUUACUGGUUUACUAUGGAAAGAGAUUCUAUUCAAUUUGUUCGGAAGUGUCAUCAAUGUCAGGUACACGAUGAUCUGAUACGUUCUCCUCCUAUUGAGUUGCAUGCAAUGGCUGCUCCAUGGCCGUUCAUGGCUUGGGGAAUGGAUGUGAUUGGACCGAUUGAGCCGAAGGCAUCAAAUGGGCAUAGAUUCAUUUUAGUAGCCAUUGACUACUUCACAAAGUGGGUAGAGGCAGUAACUUUCAAGUCAGUGACAAAGAAGGCUAUAUAAAAAAGAUACUGCAAAAAAUGAUACAAGGGUCUAGACAGUGGCAUGAAAAGUUGCCAUUUGCAUUGCUAGGUUAUCGCACCAAUGUUAGCACUUCAAUAGGGGCAACUCCAUAUUUAUUGGUGUAUGGGAAAGAAGUAGUCAUCCCUGCAAAAGUUGAAAUUCCCUCUCUUCGAGUCAUUGUAGAAGCAGAGAUCGAUGAUGACGAAUGGGUAAAAACCUGAUUGGAAUAUUUGAGUUUGAUUGAGGAAAAAGGCUAGCGUCUGUGUGUCAUGGCUAGUUGUACCAGAGGAGGAUGGCUCGAGCGUAUAACAAAAAGGUUCGUCCCAGGAAUUUUGAAGUUGGUCAGUUGGUAUUGAGAUGUAUCCUUCCUCACCAGGUUGAAGCAAAAGGAAAGUUCUCCCCUAACUGGCAAGGUCCCUUCGUUGUGAAGAAAGUGUGGCCCAAUGAAGCCUUGUAUUUGACAAAUAUUGAAGGCAAAAUGGCAGAAAUGGCUAUCAAUGCUGAUGCGGUCAAAAGAUACUACGUAUGAUAUUUGAUCCUUUGUUGAUUUUAUUGCAUGUUUAGUACUUGCAUUUUUGAAGAUUGAUAUGAUGAAGGCAUUUAUUCUUCUAUCCAAACAUUGUGUCAUCCCUUGUUUACCCGUUUGAGCUUUGUUUUAUUUUUCUUUCAUAUCCCUUUUUUGGAAUCAAAAUAGAGUCAAAGAUAAAUGUCAAGAAAAUAAAAAUAGACGAAAGAGUUUGAAAAAAAAAUCAAAACAAAGAACAAUAUGAUGGAACUACGUACGACCUGAUUCUCCUCUCUCGGGAGUGAGAUACGUAGGCUGCCCUUUUUUGGGCUCGGUCUAACCAAAUAAAGAUUUAAGAUUCACCCAAUCAACAAAACUGGGGCAUGAGUUAAUGCAUUAUUUGAGUCGAUUCCAAAAGUUGUAAGUCCCACCCCCACUUCAAGUAUCGUUUGAGCCCUUACCAUCUUUUCUAACCCUAACCAAAAGCCAAGUUACAACCAAAGAAAGUCGAUCAAUUUUUGAUAAUGUUAAGGCUAAACAUGCAAUGGAUAUGAUGAUACAUUGUGAAGUAACACUUGUCUCCCUCAGCAUAAGAAAUCAAGAAAGAAAUACAAAAAUGAGAGAGUCUUAUUGGUGAAAACCCCGUGGGCAUUAUAAGGCGAUGGUGAGUUGAGAAAAAAUGAAAAUGAGAGAGUCUUAUUGGUGAAAACCUUUGCAGACACCAUAAGGCGAUGGUGAGUUGAGAGGAAAUGAAAAUAAAAGAGUCUUCUUGGUGAAAACCUUUUCAGGCACCAUAAGGCGAUGGUGAGUGGAGAGAAAUAAAAAUGAAAGAGUCUUAUUGGUGAAAACCCUCCCGGGCACCGUAAGGCGAUGGAGAGUUCAAGAGAAAAGUGAAAAGUGAAAAGAAAAAGAUUUGUUGGCGAAAGUCUUUUAAGAUGUCGUCAAUCGAAUGUGAUGUAUGAGUCCAAUGGAUUUGAAGAAGCGACUCAGUGGCAAAAGGCACGAACUCAACAACAAAUGGGGAGUCUGGAUAGGAAGAUCAGGCAGCUCAAUCCAAAAUGCAUGUCAUACUCAUUGGAGUUGGUUGUCGUAUUCAGAUAAGUUUUCUUUUUGAAUAUGGGACAUUGCCCUUUUCUUUCAUUUACAUAUUUAUGCUUUUUGUCUUUCUUAUGUCAUUUAUCAAAAUAAAAGUCACUAUCAUUUCUUUACAUUUUAAGUCAAGUCUGUGUCAACACAAGCGAGAAAGGAUUUCAAAAUUUACUACCAGUAUUUUCAAUUAUAUGAGGAAAAGCCAAGGAAUAGUACAGAAGAAAUAUGAUCGUAAUUCAACAUGAAUCAAAGGAAGUAUAUCAACCGACAGGCUAUUGGAUUCGUAGAAACAUUCAGAUUUGGGAAAAGAGUGCAUCUCAGGGGCAUGGUAAAAUGGAAACCCAUUGUUUGAGUCAGAACUCAUUUCCCUCAAUUUGGAUCUGGGGCAAUGAUGCGGCAAGAUAAGGCAGGUGUCGGCGAUUUGGAAGAAAGAUGAAAGGAAUGAAUGCUGGGGCAGAUACCUGAGAAGCCAAGAGUUGCAAGCCACCACUAAGUUUUUAACUGACAAAUUUUCUUUGUUGAUAUAGGGGCAAAUUCCCUUAACUUAAUUCAGCUAUCAUUGGAAAUGCGCAUCCAAGGGAUUUUACUUUUUGUUCAGGACCCUCCUGAAAAAUGAGAUUUUACUUUAUGUUCAGGGCCCUCCUAAAAAAUGGGAUUUUACUUUCUGUUCAGGACCCUCCUAAAAAAUGGGAUUUUAUUUUCUGUUCAGGACCCUCCGGAAAAAUGGGAUUUUACUUUAUGUUUAGGACCCUCCUGAAAAAUGGGAUUUUACUUUNNNNNNNNNNNNNNNNNNNNNNNNNNNNNNNNNNNNNNNNNNNNNNNNNNNNNNNNNNNNNNNNNNNNNNNNNNNNNNNNNNNNNNNNNNNNNNNNNNNNNNNNNNNNNNNNNNNNNNNNNNNNNNNNNNNNNNNNNNNNNNNNNNNNNNNNNNNNNNNNNNNNNNNNNNNNNNNNNNNNNNNNNNNNNNNNNNNNNNNNNNNNNNNNNNNNNNNNNNNNNNNNNNNNNNNNNNNNNNNNNNNNNNNNNNNNNNNNNNNNNNNNNNNNNNNNNNNNNNNNNNNNNNNNNNNNNNNNNNNNNNNNNNNNNNNNNNNNNNNNNNNNNNNNNNNNNNNNNNNNNNNNNNNNNNNNNNNNNNNNNNNNNNNNNNNNNNNNNNNNNNNNNNNNNNNNNNNNNNNNNNNNNNNNNNNNNNNNNNNNNNNNNNNNNNNNNNNNNNNNNNNNNNNNNNNNNNNNNNNNNNNNNNNNNNNNNNNNNNNNNNNNNNNNNNNNNNNNNNNNNNNNNNNNNNNNNNNNNNNNNNNNNNNNNNNNNNNNNNNNNNNNNNNNNNNNNNNNNNNNNNNNNNNNNNNNNNNNNNNNNNNNNNNNNNNNNNNNNNNNNNNNNNNNNNNNNNNNNNNNNNNNNNNNNNNNNNNNNNNNNNNNNNNNNNNNNNNNNNNNNNNNNNNNNNNNNNNNNNNNNNNNNNNNNNNNNNNNNNNNNNNNNNNNNNNNNNNNNNNNNNNNNNNNGAUAAUUUUCGUUCUAGUUUUAAUUUUGGGUUUCAGGAGCCCGCCUGAAGAACAGGGUGAUGAAAUAGCAAGUCAGGAGCCCGCCUGAAGAACAGGGUGAUGAAAUAACAAGUCAGGAGCCCGCCUGGAGAACAGAGUGAAGAAAUGAAAGUCAAGCAGCAAGGUGAUGGAAUAGCAAGUCAGGAGCCCGCCUGGAGAAUAGGGUGAAGAAACAAAAAGUCAAACAACAAAGAGAAGCAAUUGAAAUCCAAGCAACAAGUUGAAAGAAAUUGCAAAACAGGAGCCCGCCUGAAGAAUAGGGUGAUGAAAGUCGAGUCAAGAACCAACAAAAGUUGUAUAGAUAGAAUUUUUGUAAUUUCAUUUAUGUUUCAACUUGUAAUUUUCAUUUUUGAUGUAAUAACAGAGUCGCGGACCGGAACCUCGACGGAACCUCACUCGACUCUCCAACUCGGUAUAGUCCAUCUCCGUCCAAUCCUUGGAGAUACUUGUCACUUGAUUCUUUCAUAACUUGGGUAGGAAGGAUGUUUUAAGUCAAGACCCGGUUGUCCUUCUUCCUUCUAUUUCUUUCUUUGAAUAUUGGUCGGGUCAAAAUUUGGACUCGCUGUCUACUUCUUUGCCUGAAAACACUUCGUGUUUACAUUCAAAGGGGGGUAUGAUGUAGACACCUAAUUCCGUCCCUCCCGAAGACCCAAGUUACACAUUUUUAUCCCUGUUUUACCACGUGCCUUCACUUGUAUGAUUAUAUCCCAUAAAAAUACAAAAAUAACAAACCCACUAACAAACCUAAUCCCCAAAUAUUCUUUUGUAACAAAAUUAACAACCCCUCCUAUCAAUUUUGGACAACACAUCACUACCCCAUGCCCCAUACCCUACCCCACCUACCCUACCCCAAUACCCACCUCACAAUAUAUACACACAUACUCUCACAAACAAGAAAGGGGAUGAAUAGUAACAAAGAAAAAAAAUUAGCUCUUUCUCUCUCUAGACUCUACUCUCUCUCUCUCCAAAAUCCAAAAAUGGAAAGCUCCGUUUGCCGCCCUCUCUCGCCGUCACCGGCGAGACCCCCCUUCUUCUUCUCUUUCUACGAUGCCACACCGCUCCUCCGUCACCGCCUAGAUCUGCCACCGCCGUCACCAACAAAACCCCCAUCACCGUCGGAGAAGAAAUAAAAACCAGCUGCUGCUCCGCCGCCAGCAGUCGCUACUUCGGCUGCGGCGCAUCGACCACUGGCUCCAGCCGCAGCUCACCCAUCCGGUGAAACAGCUUCAGCUCCGGUCACCACCAGAGAAACAGGCACUGCCGCCGUUCUCGCCGUCACCGGAGCUCACCAGAGCUCGAUCUGCGUUGGGUUUUAGGUUCUGUUUGUUUGUUGGGGGGUUUUGGUUUCAUCUGUUUCAUGGUUCGUCGUCGAUAUUGGAUUUCGAGUUAUCGUUAUCAAAUCGCAUCGUCGUUAUUGUUUGGGUUUCGUAUAACAAAGUUUGUCUCACUGGUUUUGAAGUUUUCCUAUUAGCUUUUCCCUAUACUGAGUUGGAUUCAUCGCGAUCGAGGUUCUCCAAUCGAGUAUUUUGGUCUUCGAAUUUCUUUAUUAUCGUCAACGAUCAAUUUCAUCAAGGUCCAUUUCUUCUAACUGAAUCUUUAAUUUAUUUGGAUUUUUUUGUGAUGUUGUGGGUGUAGAUGAUUUAUUUGUUGCGUGUUUGGUAUGUUCGAAUAUGUGUUAUGUGUUGGUUGAUGUUGGUUUCGGACUUUGAAAAGUGAAUUGAUAAAUCGAAGCAUGUGUUAAUCAUGUUGGUUGAAAUAAAUUUGGGGACGGAAAUUGAAAAUUGAUAAAAGUAAAUAUUAUGAUAUUUUUGAUACAUUGUUGAUGUUGAAUGCGGUAUGUUGUCGAGCGGGUAGGCAAACAGUAAGCUCGGGUAGGCAAGUUUAGGAUUGGUGUAAUGUGGGAAUGAUUGGAAUAUUUGUUGAAUGUUUUGUUUAUCGUAUUUGGAAAGUGUAUUUAUUUAAUCGGGGAAUGCCCCGAGGUAAUUUGUAUUUACUCACCGGGGAAUGCCCCAAAGAAUUUUGUACGCUAAGGAUGCUCGUGAUGAAGGCCCGCGGCAUUGGGUAAGGCAUGGAAGCUUAGUCUAGAUUUAGUUUAGAUUAGGAUUUAUAUUUUCAUAGUUUCCUAUUUUUGGACUGUAUAAUGGGACUGGACUUUACAUUUUUGGAUUGUUUCAUUUUGUUUAUUGUUUGAUUAUUUUGCGCGCUUUUUGUGUGUUUUAUACAUUUCAUAAUUCCAAAAUAGUUGAUACACUCUACCAAGCGACCGUGGUCGAACCACGGGAUCCACGGGUGCCUAACAGUUUCCCCUCGGUCAACAGAAUUCCUUAGCCGGAAUCUCUGCUCGCAAACCAGUUUAAGAGUCAAAUGGUUUCGGAAAGGAUUUACAAAGGUGAUUUGGCACACCGGAUUAUGCCAAGUGACGACUCUGAAUAAAAAAUGCAAAUAAUCCUUUUCCGAAAUAAAUUUUCAUUUCUGUCACUUAAAUAAUAAAGCCCUUUCGAACUUUAAAAUAUACGUUUUUUGGAGUACGUAAAAAAGGGGUGUGACACAUGUUAAUGAUACGAAGGUGAGUUAUCUGGAAAAAUUGAAACCUAAAUAAGUAUUGAAUAAUAAUGUUAGGGUUCCUCAUAAGCCAGUUGUUAUGUUACAAGGAGAACCUAGUAUUACUUGGAAAUCAUCGGAGGUUCAACACUUGAUUUUACAAGAAAAUUUAUAAUAUGCUAUAGUAGGUAAAUUUUCAUACAGGAAACAAGAUGUUAGUGAGCUUCGAAAAUUCAUCCCAGGUCAAUGUGGUAUAAAAGGUGAUUGUAAUAUUAGAGUAUUGGAUGCCCGACAUAUUCUAAUCCGUUUGAAAAUACUUGAAGAUUAUGUGACUCUUCUAUCAACAUCUGCAUAUUAUAUCAAGGCUAGGGAUAAAUACUUGCAGAUGAGGACAUUGAAAUAGGAUUCCUGGUUUGAACCUAAUAUAGAAACAUCAAUUGGAGUAGCUUGGAUUUCAAUGAUGGAUUUACCUCCAAAUUUCUUUGCAAAAGAGGCUAUAUUUUCUAUAGCUUCAGCUGUAGAAAAAUCAUUAACAGUAGACAUGGCAAAAAAAAAAAUACCAAGCUAUGACAAGGUAAAAGUGGAGGUGGACUUGAUAGCUAAACUUCCACAAAGAGUGAGAAUUAAUGAAGAAAAUAAUGUGACAGAUGCAAUCAAAUCGAAAUGGGUAGCAAUUUAGUAUUAUUACAUGCGUAAAUAUUAUAAAGAGUGUUGCUUGCAAGGGAAUGAUGAACUUAGUUGUUGGAAUGUUCAUCCUGAAUUAUAUAAAGAUACACGAGGAGAGGAAUUACCAAAAGACGCUUAAAGUAAUAAAGAAGGAACAACUAACAAAGGAGAUAAGACAAAACAAGGAAGUGAUAUAAGCAGGGUCAGAAUGAAUAAUAAGCAAUAAUGGCUUAUAAGAAAGAAUAAAUACAAAAAAUAUAAAUAUGAUCAUAUUAUGGGGGAAAUUAAUGAAAAACAUCAGAAGAAGUCAAGGUUACUAAUUCAUUUGAAGCUUUACAACAUAAAGACGAGGAAGAAGAGGUUUAAAGUCAACAACAAAAGAAGGAAAUGCAUAAAGAUAAGGAGAAUAAACAAAGCACCAAAGAAUGGGUGAACAAUACCUUUGGUAGAGAACAAGAAGCACAAAUUGUUCAAGAGGACAACCAAAAUAAGUCUACACAAGUCGAGAACAAAAGUAUUGAAAAACAAAGUCAGCAAAAUAAGAAAGAUCAAGUAGAAGGAGAGCAUAAAUAGGAAUCAAUGAAAUUAGCAUUGGUAAAGUAUACUAAUGGUAAUGAUACAGUAAAGGUUCUAGAAGAUAUAUUACCAUUGGCAAUUCAGACAGAUCAACAGUUGGAAUUUGCAAACAAGAAAAAAGAACCAAUGGAUGGUGAAUAUUUGGAUGAAAAUAUUGAAAGAGUGGCUAUUGAAGGAGGUUUAUCUCCUAAACAAAUUGAUACAAUCAAAGCAUCACAUGGGAAAAUAAAGAAAAAGCCUAAAAAUGCAGGUGUUAUUACAAUGCUGACAUGAAGUCAAUCCAAACAUAAAUCAGGAUAAAGGCUUUGCUAUGGAAUAUAAGAUCAGUUAAUACAAAGAAAACUCUUUCAAGGUUAAUCACAAUGCAUAGAAGGCGCCAUUUUUAUUUCAUUUGUCUCAUGGAACCUUUUCAGGAUGCUAGUAAUAUAGAGGAGUACAGAUCUAGAUUGGGAAUACAAUAUGCAGUGUGCAAUUCUUCUGGGAAAAUUUGGACAUUUUGUGAUGGAGUUGUCUAGUGUAAUGUUCUAAGAGAUCAAGAGCAGCAGGUUACAAUGAAGUUUUUUAAUCAAGAUAAAGGAAUUGGAGUGAUAGUAACAUUAGUCUAUGCUAAGUUUACUACUCAAGAGAGAAUGGUAAUGUGGGAAUCUCUUGCGGAUAUGGCUCAGACAAUGAAUGAACCAUGGAUGGUAGGUGGAGAUUUCAAUGUUGGUACAAGCAAUGAAGAAAAACUUGAAGGCUUACUUGUUACACUAACAGAUACAACUACUUUAAUCACUUUAUAAGUCUGUAUAAUCUAGAAGAUCUGGAAUUCAAAGGCAAUAAGUUUACAUGGUGGGAUGGGAGAGUGGAUGAGGAUUUCAUAUUUGAGAGACUGGAUAGAGUGUUAUGGAAUAACAGGUUGCAAAGCCUACUUCAGGUAUUGAAAGUAGAACAUUUGGUUAGGAGUGGAUCAGAUCAUGUUCCUUUAUUAUUGCAGUUUUCCAACCCUCAGGAAAAAAUCAUAAAAUCUUUUAGGUUUUUAAACUUUUGGCUGAAGAAAGAUACUUGUUUGGAGGUGAUUAAGCAGAACUAGAAUACUGACAUACAAUGCAAUCCAUUUAUUAUGUUUUAUCACAAGUUGAAGAGGACUAAAAAAGAAUUGAAACAUUAGAGCAGAGAGAAAUUUAGUAACAUCUUUCAGGAAAUUGCAACUCUUGAAGAUGUUAUUAAGGUGAUGGAGGUCCAGUUUGAAUAGAAUUCAUCUGGAGAGAAUAGAUCCAAAUUAUUUAAAGCUCAGGCAAAAUUAAAUAUGCAGCUUAAAAUGGAGGAGGAUUUUUAGAAACAAAAAUCAGGGUUUGACUAGUUUAAGAAUGGGGAAAGGAACACUAAAUUUUUUCAUACUAUAGUAAGGGGAAAAAGAAAUAGAUUAAAGGUCAGCAGAAUUCCAAAUAGAGAAGGUGAAUAGAUGUAAAAUUAGACAGAUAUUUCAGAGGUUAUAAUCAGAUUCUUUUAGAAAUAGUUUACUAAAGGGAAGUGGUGUGAGGAUUUCUUUAUUCUAGAAGGAAUUCCACAGCUAAUUGAUUCAAAACAGAAUAAGGAGCUGAUUAAAUAUCCAACAAUCACAAAGUGAGAGAAGCAGUUAUGGGACUGAACAGACAUAAUACUGGGGGGCAGAUGGUAUGACAGAAGUAUUUUAUCAAGAUUCUUAAAAAAUAAUUAGGAAUGACAUUUAUGAGAUGGUGAAUGCCUUCUUUGGUGGAUAUGAAUUGCCCAAGUUUAUUACUCAUACAAAUCUGGUGAUGUUGCCAAAAAAAUUGGUCCUUAACACAUUUCUGACUUUUGGCCAAUUUCUCUUAGUAAUUUUGUCAACAAGAUUUUUUCAACAAUAAUCCAUGACAGGAUUAAAAAGUUAUUACCAAGGAUUAUCUCAAAAGAAUAGGUAGGAUUUGUGCAAGGAAGAAGUAUAACUGAGAAUAUUUUGCUGGUGCAGGAGAUUGUGACAGAAAUAAGGAAAAGAGGUAAGCCUCCUAACAUGAUUUUGAAGUUGGAUAUGAUAAAAACAUAUGAUAGGGUAGAAUGGUUAUUUUUGACAAAAGUUAUAAAGAAGGUGGGUUUUGGUGAAGUAAUUAUAGAUUUGGUGUAUAGAUUAUUGAGUAAUAACUAGUAUUCAAUACUCUUGAAUGGUCAACCUAAAGGUUUUUUUAAAUCACCAAGAGGGUUGAAACAAGGAGAUCCAUUGUCCCUAACUCUUUUUAUUAUUGUUGCUGAUGUAAUGUCCAGGUCACUAAAGAAGUUAUUGUUGAAUAAAGAGUUUAAAACAUUUGAGAUGCCUAGGGGAAGUCCUAAAUUAAAUCAUCUAGCCUUUGCUGAUGAUAUGAUUAUUCUAUGCAAGGCUAAGUUUAAUACUCUGAAUUUAUUAACAACAACUUUAGAGAAGUAUGAAAAAGCAUCUGGACAGAGGAUUAAUAAAGAUAAGAGUGUUAUGUACUUGCAUAAAAAUGUGUCUUAUGGUGUGGUGACUAUGGCAGAACUGCUAACAGGUAUUCUAAGGAAUGAUUUUCCUUUUACUUACCUUGGGUGUCCUAUAUUUCAUAUGAGAAAGAAGAAAGACUACUAUCAGGGCUUAAUGAGCAGAAUUAGUAGAAAAUUGCAUAGUUGAAAAGGCAAAAUACUCUCAUAUGGUGGAAGGGCUAUUCUGAUUAAACAUAUACUUUAGAGCAUACCAGUUCAUUGUCUGUCAGUGAUGAAUCCUCCUAUGAGUGUUCUUAAUAAUAUGCAUAAGAUGCUAGCUUAAUUUUUUUGCAGUAACUACAUAGGGAGCAAGAGUAGACAUUAGGUAAGAUGGUAGGAUAUUUGUGUACCAGAAGAUGAGGGUGGUUUGGGAUUUAGAAUGCUGAAAGAUGUUUCUAUGACUGUUCUACAAGCUGUGAUGGACUUUCAGAACCAAGAAGUCCAUCUGGACUGAGUAUAUGCAUAACAAGUACUGCAAGAAAGAACAUCCUACCAUGAUCAUAUGAAAGAAAGGAGUUGGUGGUUCACAAGUAAGGAAGAAAAUAGUGUAGGCUAGGGAUAUGACAGAACUCCAAAUAUUAUAGAAAAUCAGGAAUGAUAAUUCUAAUAUUUGGUGGGAUAACUGGAUAACUCUUGGUAGUCUGUAUCAUAUCACAGAGAUAGAUCAAGGAUAGAAUGACAGAUAUCAAAAGAUAAGCAGCUUGGUAAGGCAAGGAAGAUGGAAUGCUAAUUUGUUGACUCAAUUUCUACCAGAGGAAAUUGUUAAUCAUGUCAUGGCUAAUAUAAAAGUACCUGAGGAGAAUAUGGAACAGGAUAAACCUAUUUGGAUGCUUGAAUCUAAUGGGAAAUUUACUGUGAAGUCUGCAUGGGUGUAUAUUAGACAAAAGAAUGAAAAAAUUUAGAUUUUUAAGGAGAUGUGGAUAAGAGGCUUACCUUUUAAAUUUUCAUUUUAAUGUGGAGAAUACGGAGAGAAAAAAUAUCAGUAGAGGAGGUUGUUAGAAGAUGAGGGGUGGAUGGACCUACUAAAUGCUGGUGUUGUACUACUCAUGCUCAAGAAACCAUAUCACAUGUGUUUCUUAGAGCUCCUUUAGCUAACAUGAUUUGGUCCUACUUUUCUUAUUGUGCAGGUAUAAAUGUUCAUUGCUUAAAUUUCAAAGAGAUAGUCCUAGCAUGGUGGAAUGCAGAUGUUAGAUUCAGAGAUAAAAGUUAUUAUCUUGCAGUUCCUAGCAUUAUUAUUUGGGAGCUUUGAAAAAGAAGGAACAAGGAGAAGCAUGAAGGGAAACAGAUAUCUGAGUUCAGUGUUCAGUAAAAUAUCAUCAGAAAUAUUAGGUUAUUGCUUUAAAUAAGGAGACCAUACCAAGAGUUUCCUACUACAUAGCUAGAAAUAUUGACAUAGUUGGCAAGACACAAAACUAGAAUGAAAGUCAUAAGGUGAAUUGGGAAUUUCCUCAAUAGGGAUGGGUUAAAUACAAUACGGAUGAAGCUUCUAAAGAAAAUCCGAGGGCAAGUUUAUAUGUUUUUUGUGUGAGGGAUCAGGUAGGAGAUUUUUUGAAUGCAAAAGGAGCAGCCAUAGAGGAUACUACUAAUCUAUAUGCAAUGGCAGAAACUAUUCUACAAGCAGCUAUGCAUGAUAUUAAGCACACAUAGGUAAAACAAUCAUACAGAUUGAUUCAUUAAGCAUGCUGAAGAUUUUAAACGAUUAAUGGCAUUGUCCAUGGAGCAUAGAAUAUAAAGUGAUACAAACAUGGAGGUUAUUACAGCUCACAACAGUCCAGUACCAGCACAUAUUGAGGGAAGGGAGCAAAUUAUCUGUCUACUUUGCUAAUUAUGCAUUUGAGGUAGGUGAAUUCAUAUUCAAAUAUUUCAAACAGAUUCAAACAGCUGGCAAGAGGAUCAUUAAUAGUGAUGAAACAAAAAUACCAUACUUAAGAUUGUCACCACAGAAGAGCUGCACGGCUGAUUAGGUUACGGAUUAACAUAAACAUAAGGAUAUUUACAAGCCAUGCAAGGCCACAAAAAUAGUGUUGGUAUUAAAUCACUUAGCCUAGUCUACAGCAGCUUACAUAAGGCAAUCUCUGUAAAACAAAAAGGGCUAUACGACAUGAUACUGCAUAACUUGGACAAUAGUUACUCUCCAAAUACUAGUGGGUCCAAACAUCUCAUUAUCUUCAUCCCAUCUGCACCUAUAAAGAUAAAGGAAGUUAGCACAGGCAAGAGAAGAGGAAUUUUAGCUCAAAGAAUUAAAUGUUGUAUACUUGGUGUAGGUUACCAAAUCCAGGUUAAUAGACCCUUCAAUGGAGCUCAAAAAGACGACUCAUGUUCUAUCCACAGAAGAUGAAAAUGAAAUGAAGAGGAAGCAAAAUGAACAGAUCAAAGGGAUAAGAUAUUACUUACCUCUGGAAGUUGAUGAGGAUACACUGAUGCAGCUAUCAGGACAUGGUGUUAAUCACCCAGAGCCGAAGAAGGAUGAACUGGACUCUGAAGAUAGUCAGCGGUGACAUCAAAGAGCAGAUAAAAAGGGAGGGAAACAGAUAGAUGGUUUAGGAAACCCUAUAUUUCAGAUAUAUGUAAUAAAUUCAAUUGGGUUAGGCCAGGUCAAUUUUUAUGUUUAUUUUUAUUUCAGGUUUUAUAUGGUUUGGGCCAACCCAAUUUAUAAAGGCUAUGCAUUUGUUUAAUUUUUAAUAAGAAAAUCUGAAAAUUAAAUUAAAAAAAGAGCAAUCCAAUAUUGUAGCUUCCACGAGCAAUUAUUUUUCCAUUGAUCAUAUCCACCAUAUCUUGGAAUCCAUUUCGAAUAUUACGGGGCUAAUCCUAUUAUCCUUGCACUAUUGAAGACCAAAAUUUGUUGCGUGAAUUUCAUCCAUGUUACUUGAGCAGUAAAGUAAAUCAUGUUUUAUUAUCCUUGCACAAACAGCCCGCAUUUGUGUUCAACUUGAAAGUUAUUGGACGAGGCGUUAGACAACAUAUUGAUAAGGAGAUUAUCUUGGCCUUAUAAUCAUCAAUCAAUUUACAAAGACGUUUUGGCUGCAACCAGUCGGGAAAUAAUCAAAAUCCUUCCUUAAAAAACAAUCUUGAGGUUGAGGAGAAUAUAAGAAUAAUUCUUACUUGUGGCUCAAGUUUACUUGUGAUUCAAGUAAUCCACAAUUAAAGAAUUGAUCUCCUUCAUACAGCGGUCAAUUGAUGAACAUAUCGGAUUAAGUCUUAACCUCUAUAAAUUGAUCCUCCCUCUAUCCAUUAAGAUUAUCACAUACACUACUCUUUUUUCAUCACUAAAGAAUGUGGUAACAUAAGGUUUGGACAAGAAGGUAGAAAUCAGUUUCUCAACUAAACUUCCGCUAUACUCUGUGAUGAUGUCUUCUGCAUCAGGUAUGUUUUAUAUGACUCGUCUAUGUAAAAUUAUUGAGUUAAAGAUCUUAAUGUGCAUUAAGCACUAAAAUUUAAAGUUUACAUGUGUCACCCGAGCCUAGAUAUUUGAACCGAUCUUCAUCAAAGAAAAUAUUAUGAUGUAUCACUGUUGUGUUGUAUGUACAAUCAUGUUUACGGUAUCAUUAAUUUGCUUUCUAAGUCAGCGUUGUUAUGAUUUAGGUUUUAGCAAUUAAAGGCUCUGACAGUGAAGGUUCCAACUUGCCACUUGCCCUUUAGGUGUUAAAAUUGACAUUACCAUAAGUAUAAAUUGUAGGGUAUCUUCCACUGAUACUCAUUUGAUAAGCUUAAUGUUGAAAUGAUUGGGAUUUGAAUUUUUGCGCAAGUUUUAUGUUGAACCUUGAUCCCGUAUACAGUAAUGGUUAUUAAUUCCCAUUUAAUACAUUAGUGAUUUUUUGCUGUUGAUGUCUUGUUACAACUAAUAGUGGUCCUUAUAUUAAAUUACGUAAAUAAUGUAUGUGUCUAAGUAUAUAGUUUAUUAGUCAACAAAGUGAUCAAACUAGAACGUUAAUAUUUUUUUCACAUACGUUAUACUUAAAUUCUAUACAUGUAUUAUGUUUCUAUAGCUUUUUAGUCAUCAAAGUGGCCAAACUAGAAUGUUUAAACCUAUUCACAUGUAUAAAAAUUAUGCAUGUGAUAUAAUAUGUACAUUAAUGUUCAUAUAGUUUGUUAGUCACCAAAUUGGACAAACUAGUAUGGUUGAGAAAAAAUAUGCAUCCAUAAAAUUGUUAUCUAUCCAUGAAACUAAUGAAAUGUCUAUUAUUGAUAAUAAAUAGGAAAAGUAACUCUCACAACUGGUAGAAUUUAAGAAUUUAUUCAAAGGUGAAUUAAUUAUUCUAUGAGUAGUAAACAUUAUGCGGUAAAUUAAUAUUCUUUAGUCGAAUAUAUAUUGUAUAUCCAAAGAUGUAUAUGUUUGAUUUAAAAUAAUUUAUUACCUAGUAAAGUUGAAAAAAUGAAAUUAAAUUAUGAUAGUGUGCCGUAGUAUCUACCUAAAGGACAAUUACAAUAUACUUUUAUUAUUUUUUUGAAUCCACAUUAUUUUUUAAUUUGUGAGUAUAUUUAUCUAUUUUGCAGCUAUUCCUCUUCAUUCGCUUGCUUAAUAUUUAUCUAUUUUGCAGCUAUUCCUCUUCAUUCGCUUGCUUUAUCUAUUACCAUGUUUAAUGUAUUAAACUUCUCUGAAUGGCAUGAACAAGUUCACCUUCACUUAGGUAUGAUGGAUCUGGGCUUGUCUAUGCUGAAUGAUAAAUCUAGUGCUAUUAUUGAUACAAACAGUGAGGAUGAGAAGUCUUUCUAUAAAGUAUGGGAACAUUCUAACAGAUUGAACCUUAUGUUCAUGCCAAUGACUAACUACAACAUACCCAGUCUAUUUCUACAUAGUGGGGUUUGAGGAGGGUAGAGUGUACGUAAACCAUACCACUACCUCAGGUGAAGUAGCGAGGCUGUCCGAUAGACCCCCGGAUUAGGACUUCACGCGAAUGACUAUCGCUAAAAAUAUUAAGAGUAUUAUUCCACAAACAGAAAGUGUCAGGGAAUACCUGAAGUUUAUGGAAGAACAUUUUCGUUUUGCUGAUAAGUCUCUCAUUAGUACAUUAACGGAUGAACUCGCGAUCAAGAUGUUUGAUGGAUUGCAUAGUAUGUAAAAUUGUAUCAUCGAGAUGACUAACAUUAUAGUAAGACUUCAAACAUUGGUAAUAAAAGUGGAUGACACCUUUUUGGUUCAGUUUAUUCAUAACUCAUUGCCUCCUAAGUAUGAACUAUUUCAAAUUAACAAUAAUAUUAUUAAGAAUAAAUAGGAUAUUAAUAAAUUAUCCAGUAUGCUUAUUUAGGAUGAGUCAAGACUUAAGAAAUAAGGUCAUUUCAUUAACCUCACGAGUCAAGGAGCUGGUAAAGGACUUAACGUGAAGGUCAACAAGUUCAAGAAGAAGAAAGCACCCGCUAAAGUUUCACAAGAUGCUCAUAAGGAACUCAAGGCAGAUAAGUAUCAUUUCUGUAUAGACGAAGGACACUAUAAAAAAGAUUGCCAAAAACAUAAAGCUUGACUUAAAAAGAAAGGUGCAUAGAGUGCUUUCAUGUGUUUCGAAUAAAAUUUAGUAGAAGUUUACAAAAAAUACUUGGUGGCUUGUUUCUGAUGUAACUAUUCAUGUAUCUGCUACUUUACAAGAAUUCAUUCUAAUCCAAACUACAAAUCUAAAUAAGGACUUCUUGUUCAUGGUGUUUUAUCCCUUUUCAGGUUUCAUUUGAGAGAAAAUGAUUUUAACCUUUUCAAACUAGUCAAAAUAGUUUCGAAAAGGUUUACAGAGUCGUCUCUUGAUUUUUUAUCGAAAACAUCAAGAAAAAACUUUAAAGAGACUUCAAAGAUUUAAAAACAGAAAUAGAUCUUCAAAAUCAGAGAAACUGAGUAAGGGUUCAGUUAACACCCUAAAACACCCUAAAAAGAUUUUUACGGAACUUAGGAGCGUCCGUUUUAAAACGGUUCACCAAAAGACUUAUUUUUGACUAACUUUAAAAAGGGUCUAAUUUUUACAAAAAGGUUGAUUUUUUUAAAAUAUUACCCUUAACUCAAGAAAUUAUUUAUUUACUAGUUUGUGAAGACUUAAAUGAUUUAAAAUAUUACCCUUAACUCAAGAAAUUAUUUAUUUACUAGUUUGUGAAGACUUAAAUGACAGUUAUUCGACAAAGCAAAAUAUUGAUCUUGUCUAACUUGAGAAAAUUUUCUAUAGAGAAAGUUGAACUAAAACCCCAAAAUUAUUAUUAUUUAUUUAUUUAUUUUAAUAAAAGGGAGAAAGAAAGUGAUUUUUGAACAUCAUUUUUGAUAACAAAUAUCAAUCUCCAAAAAAAAAAGUAUCAAUUUAAACAAUUAUGAAUUUUGACUAACUUGAAAAAUAUUUUUUUAACUUUCACGAAGAAAAAUAGAUUUUAAGUUGAUGAGAGUUCUUUUAAUUUAAAUGAAUUAUUUUAACAUAUUGAUAAGAUAAAAUGUCGUUUUAAUUUUUUUUUUUUUUAAAAAAGUUCACUCUAACAAGGAAGAUAUUUUUUUAUUAAUUUAGAAUAUUACGCUAUGUGAUAAAAUACUUAAAAGAAAAAUCCAAAGAAACAAAAAUGACGAUUCAACGGGGAUCUAUUAAGGUUAACCAAUUUUAAGAAAUUAAUGUGAACACAUAAUCAAGUUCAAUUUACAUAAAAUAAGUAAGAAAGGUUAAAAUUUGGGCCCUUUUAGCCCAUUUCAAAGCUGGCCAAUCUUUGGGCCUUUCUUAUGGACUGGGCCCUUUUUCUGCAUUUGUAUACCAGCUGUAUACUGAGCGUAUAUCAGCACCUCUUUCCAAGCAUUUUUGGGUAUAUUUCUUUUCUAUAUUAUAGAAGAGUUGGUUUGGUCAAGGGGAUGGAAAUCACAUAACAAAUUUCUCUAGGGGUAAUUUGGUCAUUACAAUAAAUUAUAAGCUCAAUUCAAUUAUUUUUUGCGCUUUCAUCAAAAGUUUGAAUAAAAACUAAUUAUUUUUUCUUUAAUUACAAGCAAUGUCACUAAAGAAAUUUACCAUAAUGUCAUCACACAUAUUUCCACAAAUGUGGGCCCUCUAUCUUUCAUUUAUUUUUCAAUCUUAUUUAUCUUUUUUAUUUUUAUGUAUAAGAUUACUUCAAAUAUAUUUAAGUAAAUUGAUUAGUAGGAUGAUAAUUUAUUGUAAAAAUUAAUUAAAAUUGAUGCGAUUAAAUAAAUUUUAUUAUUUAUUUAAUUUCAUAUCAAACAUAUAAUUUACUUUCUUUCUUAUUUGUUAUUACAUUUUCACCUAAUUUAUUUUUUUCCUAAUAUAUUCAAUCGUGAUUUUACGAUAUCAUUUCUAAUUAAUUAUUAUGGUCAUCUAAGUAUCAUGUCACUUAAAUUGGAGUAGAAAAGUUUUACACAAUAAUUAAAAAUUUAAAUUAUUUAUUAAAAUAUUAUUUUUCUUCUUUUUCUAUUAUAUUAUAUUAUAUUAUAUUAUAUAUAUACUUUGGCAUGUUAGCUUAUGGGUAUUAAAACAAAGUUUUAGGAUACUAAGGUCUAUAAAAUACUUUGCAAGAUUAGUUUGUUUAGGAAAAUUAUAUUUUGGGUUUUAAUGUUUGGACCUUAUCAACAACUAUAACAAAAGUCCUUCCAUUUUGAAUUAAUUACAACUCAUGCCAUUUCAAUAAAUUACCACUUUACCAUUGAUGCUACUCCUAUUGAAUAUGAUGGAGCCCACAUAUAAUUAAUUAUUAUAAAUUAUUCAUAUAUUAAAAAUUAAUAAUACUUAAUUAAAAAAUUAAAUAAAUAUUUAUGACAUGUCUGCUUCAACCGUAAUUGUAAUAUAUUACCCCUAACUAAUUAUUAUAUCACACCUAAUUAAUUAUUAUAAGUUAUUUAUAUAUUAAAAAAUUAAUAAUAUUUAAUUAAAAAAUAAAAUAGAUAUUUAUGACAUGUCUGCUUCAACCGUAAUUGUACCAUAUCACUCCUAAUUAAUUAUUAUACUGCUUCAAAUUAAUUAUUAUAAGUUAUUUAUACAUUAAAAAAUUAAUAAUAUUUAAGUAAAAAAUAAAAUAAACAUUUAUGACAUGUUUGUUUCAACCGUAAUUUUACUAUAUCACCCUUAAUUAAUUAUUAUGGUCAUUUUAAGCAUUAUGCCACAUAAGUUGAAAUAGAAAAAAAUAAUUUAAUAUGUUAUAUAUUUCAAAAAAAAUUACAUGAAAAAUACUAGAAAUCACAAUAAUUAACAACUUAAAAGAUUUAAAAGAUAUAAAAUAUUUGGUCGACUCUUGAAAUUAUAUUAGUGUCACUGAAAUUGGAAUAGAUAAAAGUAUUAUAAAUCACAAUAAAUAAAAACUAAAUUUUUAAAAUAUAAUUGACUAUCAAUGCCACAAAAGUUUGGACAAGAAAAAUAAUACAUAUUAUUUGAAAAUUACAUAAAAAAAAUAUUAUACAUUACCAUAUUUAACAAAUUAAAUUAUCUAUAUACCUAUUAAAAGUAUGAUUGAUUAUCUAAAUUCUAUUUGUGUCUCAUAAAUUGAGAUAAAAAUUAAUAUAUUGAACUCGUGCUAGAUCUCGAAUGAAUCUUAAAAUGUAUAUGCAAUUCUUUAAAAAAACAUUUAUUUAAAUAUAUCAAAAUCAAAAAGGCUAAUUUUAAUGCAGCAUGUUAAAAAAUGUAUAAAAACUAAUGUUAACAUAAAUAAUACCAGCAUUUACUAAUAGAAGCAUUACUAAUACAAAUAUUACUAAUUUAUUCUAUUCAAAAAGAAAAUUUAUACACUAUAACAAACGACUCCUACGUUUCAAUAGAAGGAAUAUAUACAAAAGCAAAGUUUGAUAACAAAAUUACAGAAGGAUAUUUUAUAAGUAUAUUUUAUCGUGUUCUCAAAGUCAAAUAUCUUAAAUUAAUAUGACAUAUGGUAACUUAUAAUUUCUUUUUUUUUUUUUAUAAUUUUCAAAACACUUUAAAUUUAAAUUUGAAGUUAUAUUAGUGUCACUGAAAUUGGAAUAGAAGAAAUUUAUUAUAAAUCACAAUAAUUAAAAACUUAAAUUAUUUUUAAAACAUAAUUGACUAUCAAUGCCAUAAAAAAUUGGACAAGAAGAGUAACGUAUUUAAAGGGCAAAAGAGUUAAAACAAACAAUAGAUAAAUGUAGAGAAAUCAAGAAGCACCAAAUGGAUUAUUAACAUUUAUAACAUUCAACACAUUUCUAAAUAUUUUCAAAUUCUUCUUGAAUCAACACAUAUACAUAAUAAAAAUAAUAAAUAAUAAUAAUUACAUUUUACUAUAUCACCCCUAAUUAAUUAAUAUGGUUAUUUAAGCAUUGUUCCACAUAAGUUGAAAUAGAAAAAAUAUUAUAAAUUACAAUGAUAAAAAAUUUAAAUUAUUUAAAAAAAUAUAAUUGGCUAUCGUCGACACAAAACUCUGAACAAAGAGAGUAGCAUAUAUUAUUCAAAAAAAUUAUAUAAAAAGUGACAAGAAAAAUAAUACAUAUUAUUUGAAAAUUACAUAAAAAUAUUAUAAAUUACAAUAGUUAACAAAUUAAAUUAGCUAAAUACCUAUUAAAAGUAUGAUUGAUUAUCUAAAUUCUAUUUGUGUCAUAUAAAUUGAGAUAAAAAUUAAUAUACUGAACCCGUGCUAGAUCUCGAAUGAAUCUUAAAAUGUAUAUGCAAUUCUUUAAAAAAAAAAAAUUUUUAUUUAAAUAUAUCAAAAUCAAAAAGGUAAAUUUUAAUGCAGCACGUUAAACAAUGUAUAAGAACUAAUGUUAACAUAAAUAAUACCAGCAUUUACUAAUAGAAGCAUUACUAAUACAAAUAUUACUAAUAUAUUCUAUUCAAAAAGAAAAUUUAUAUACUGUAACAAACAGCUCCUACGUUUCAAUAGAAGGAAUAUAUACAAAAGAAAAGUUUGAUAAAAUAUUUACAGAAAUAUAUUUUAUAAGUUUAUUUAAUCGUACCAAUAAAAACAUUCUACUGCUCAAACUACCUACUCUAACAUAAAUUCUAAAACUUAAAAAUUGCAAUACACAUGUUUUAUUGUUGGGCCCGUCUUGACACGGACCUUGGACUUCUAGUCCAGUGUAUAUGUGACUAUAUUUUAGUCAUGUGCACAUAAGUUUAAUCCUUCAACCUUGAAAUCAGCUUCCUUUUCCAUGUCCCCCUUUCUAAGCCAGUAUAUUGGUGUAUAUCUGCUGUAUACCAGCAAAAAAUAGCCCCCUUGGAUUUGGAUCUGAGGUUUCGACUCGAUGUUGGGUUGGACCCAACGAGGAUGCAAGGGAAGAGUCCAAGAGGACUCGAACGAGUUCAUGCACAAGAGAUAAAAGGAUAAGAAUUAGUAUCCAUACGAGUAUGCAAUAAGAAUGAGAAUUAACCGAACGAAAGAAACAGCAAAGCUAAUGCAUUUUUUUUUUCCCAUGAGACAAAUCACAAUACGUAAUUACGACUGAAAUUAGGUAUAAAGGUAAAAACAUGUUCAACACGUUACAAUCAACAUUAUCACAUAGUUCAUACGAAAUUUUAACUAACUUAUAUACUACUAGACAUAUAUUUAUACUGACUUCUCUAUAAUUUAAU
rnacentral:lncRNA from 1 species